UGGGCGUCGGUGCAGUUGAUUUGGGCGUGAAUUUCGUCUCCCGCAACCAGCUUUGAUCCAUCUUUAGUAUGAGAUGCUGGAGACGUUUUCUGCCCCUAGAGCGCCAGCCAGAUGCAUCCUCCACAUCUCCAACAUUCUUCGAAGUUCGACUUGCAGGUCCCCAUUUUUUGUUUUCCUCACUGAGUCAUAUAUUUAUUUAUUUUGUAACCAUUUCCUUUGUUUUUGCCAUUGAACCAACAUAAUGUACUUAAGGAAAUGCCUGUUAAGUGAAAUUGUUUCUUCAUUUUUCCUUGAAAUCUUGCAAAAACAUGUGAUUCCUUUUUUAAGGGUUCUAUAAGUGUUGAAUGAGGUGAUAGUAAUUAGUAAGUGAAAUUAGAAAGAAUGUAAGUGUAUGUCUGCGCAUACAUGAUAACUGAAUCGGCGGACUUGAGAGUUCAUCGAAUUCGGCGGCACUUUUGCCGUCAACAUGCAUGUAGGCGAUGUGCUGGCUUCUAUCCUAUGAAGUGUGAGGUUCAUGGCGGCAUUGCUGCCCCCAAGUUCUGACCCGGAUGCGUCAUUGCUGUCCCAAAGUGAUGCAGUCCAAAAAUUUGCCUUCAUCGUUGACAGAGCCACAGAGGCAGCCCGGCAAGGUCAUUGUAUAUUUUCACCUGCAAGUCCUCCUUCCUCUUACCCCGAUUGAACUAAUAUAAUCAAAUAAGGUAGUGCUUUUUAGCGAUUAACGUUUCAGUUUUAUGGUUUUUAUACCAUUAUGUAUACUGGCUGCUCUUGAUUUUUUUUCAAUUGACUUAUGGUAAAGGUACUAAAUGAUGAUAGUAACUUAUGAAUGCCAAAUACAUCUUUCAGCAUAGUGUUAAUUUGUUUACUCCCCAUCCACCUUUUCCGGGCUUGGGACUGACAUUGGCAGUGUUAGCCCCUCUACCUCUAUUAAUAUUUAACAAACUUAAGAAAUAAUGAGGAUAUUUAUGGUUAGCUAUAGUUUCAAUACAAAUUAAGAUUUAAUCACUAAAUAUGAAAAGCGGUUUGAUUCUGUUGUACAUAUAAAACAUAACAAUGUGUCGAUGAAGUCACAUAAUAUAGAUUAUCCAUGUUUGGUAUUAAUGAACUAUUUCCACCAAACGUUGAUGCAUGUUUGCAAUACUUCGGUACGGUAGUAGACCAUAUAUGUCCUGCCAUAUCAUGUUAGCAUAGCUAAGUCUGUUUUUAGUUUCAGGAUUGUUUGCAAUGCAAGGUAAAUCGGUGGCUCUCUGAAUGGUGGCAAAUCAACAUUUCCCUGUUGGCACCAUAGUCCCAAAGGUGGCAUGCUUUUUGCUCUACCUUAAGUUCUUUCUUCGUACCGAAAAAUUCCACCCCAUCAUUCACACUUGUAUCUUGGUUUUUUGAAGUCCCAAGUGUCCAUACCAUUCCUUUCCAAUGUCCUGUCCAAGUUUCUGAAUUUACCAUCAAUUUUAAUAUUAGUAAUGUCUCGUAUUGUUGAUGCUGAAAAAAGUAUUUGGGGGUUUGUUUCUUUCAUGUACACUUUUUGUUACUUUUUGUAAUGUACACGUACAUAACAUGAAUGAAGUACAUGAAUGUCCAGAUUUUAGAUGUUGAUUGUAUUUUAUUGUUGCUUACCUCAUAGUCUCACCAGUCCGGCUGAUUAGUGCUUCUUUUUUGUCGAUUGUUCUGCAACCCUCUUGCUUUGUAUUUUAUUUUCUAUGUAGUCUUGCCUCUUUAGCUUUGUCUGUUGAGUUAAUUGCCCUCCAUAAACAUAAAUACCAAUUAGUAUAAGUAAGAUAUGGAAUUUCCUUCAUAAGCAAUUUAUUACUCGUGGCAGUGGUCAAUGUACAUGAUGAACAUUUUUACAGGAUAUUGUUCCUUAUGGCAAUGGAACAUUUUUUCCCUCAGUAUUGGUUUAGACAGAGUGCAUGGGUAUGUUUUAUCAUGAUUUUCUUGAAAGCAUACUUCAUGGCUAUAGGUAGAACUAAAUGUAACAUGUUUUUGUGAUUUAAUAGAGCAAUUUAAAUUAGCUGCACUUGAAGAUAUGGAAAUGCAUGGGCGACCGGACUUCAUAACCACUUGUUCAUGGUAAAAUGUGUGGUAUAUGAUUUUAGUACAUCAAAUCCUGAGUUAAUGAAGGAAUAUUUUUGUGGUAAAAAAGAUUGGAGGACAAAGAAGAAGAAUUGAUUUGCAAAGCAUAAGCAAGGUACAUAAUUUGCUUCAUGUAUACUAUACUACCAGGUGUGCAUCAUUAGUGGUAAAAUUUAGAACCAAAUGGAUGAUGAUACGCAUAAGGGUAAAACUUUGUGAAGAUUUUCUUACUUCACGUGGAUCAAAGGAUUUCAUGGUGAGUCUGCCCAUACGAUGUUGUCGGUCCCAUCGAAAAGCCUAACGUUCACAUUUUGAACCAAGUCGGUCUCAUCGAGUUUCACUAUUCGGUCCCACCGAGUUUGGUAAAUUGUGUGUAACAGUUAGAUUUAUGUGGAGGCUAUAUAUACCCCUCCACCCCCUUCUCCAUUUGAGAGAGAGCCAUCAGAACGUGCCUACACUUCCACUACUCAUUUUUUGAGAGAGAACCACCUACUCAUGUGUUGAGACCAAGACAUUCCAAUCCAACCACAAGAAUCUUGAUCUCUAGCCUCCCCCAAGUUGCUUUCCACUCAAGUCAUCUUUCCACCAUAGCUAAAUCUGUGAGAUAGAGUUGAGUGUUGUGGAGACUAUCAUUUGAAGCACAAGAGCGAGGAGUUCAUCAUCAAGACACCAUCUAUUACCUUUUGGAGAGUGGUGUCUCCUAGAUUGGUUAGGUGUCACUUGGGAGCCUCCGUCAAGAUUGUGGAGUUGAACCAAGGAGUUUGUAAGGGCAAGGAGAUCGCCUACUUUGUGAAGAUAUACCCAAGUGAGGGAAGUCCUUCAUGGGCGAUGGCCAUGGUGGGAUAUACAAGGUUGCUUCUUCAUGGACCCUUCGUGGGUGGAGCCCUUUGUGUACUCACGCAACCGUUACCCAUCGUGGGUUGAAGUCUCCAUCAACGUGGAUGUACGAUAGCACCACCUAUCGGAAGCACGCCAGAAACCUCCAUGUCUACAUUGUGUUUGCUCCCUCCAAACUCCUCCCCUUUACCUUCAUAUACAAUGAUUUACAUUGCGCUGCUAUACUCUUAGAAUUGCAUGUGUAAGUUGAUUGCUUGACUUGUGCUAAGUUGCUAAAAUCUGCCAAGACUUAAAAUUGGGAAAAGGCUAGGUUUUAUUUCGUCAAGUAGUCUAAUCACCCCCCUCUAGACAUACUUUUGAUCCUACAUUUAUAAAUCAAAUAUGUCAUCUGCUUAGUUUAGACAUGCUUUGUGUGAAUGCCAUCUGUUUAGUUUCUUUAUCGUAUAUGUGAAUUAUGCAACACCAUGUUGUUUAGCCAGGCAUCAUAUAUGUGAAUUUUGCAAUGCCAUCCUGCUUAGCCAGUCAUCUUAUAUGUUAAUUAUAUCAUGCCAUACUUUUUUUCAUUACGCAUUACAUUUGUCAACAAUGUUAGUACAUUCAACUACUCUUCGUGUGCAUCAGCCAUUUGACACAGUGAUGGAAAAUUCUAGAGUGAAAACAAGUUUUUCAAAGCAGACUAUGAUAUCUAACGAAGCACAUAUCUCGCUGGUUACGGAUAGCUCCUCAGAGGAUAAUUCAGAGACAGAUGACAAGUCCUAUUCCCCCCCCUGAGGUGUAUGCUCUAACUUGGGAGGGUUAUGUUGCUCAUAUCGUGCGUAUGGUGUCUUGCAUUGUUAUGCCAUUUGCUUAGUUUAGACAUGCUUUGUGUGAAUGCCACCUGUUUAGUGUCUAAUUACCAUAUAUGUGAAUUAUGCAAUGCCAUCUUGUUGCAAGACAUUAUAUAUGUGAAUUAUGCAAUGCUAUCUUGUUGCAAGGCAUUAUAUAUGUGAAUUAUGCAAUGCCAUCUUGUUGCAAGACAUUAUAUAUGUGAAUUAUGCAAUGCUAUCGUGUUGCAAGGCAUUAUAUAUGUGAAUUAUGCAAUGCCAUGCUGUUUUUCCAAUCAUCAUAUAUGUGAAUUAUAUCAUGCUAUCCUUUUUUUGUAUUAUGUGUUUCAUUUUUUGACAAUGCUUGUAUAUUCAACUACUCUUCCUGUGCAUCAGUGAUACGUCUCCAACGUAUCUAUAAUUUUUAAUUGUUCCACGCUAUUAUAUUAUUUGUUUUGGAUGUUUAAUAGGCAUUUAUAUGCUAUUUUAUAUUAUUUUUGGGAAUAACCUAUUAACCGAGAGCCCGGUGCCAGUUUCUGUUUUUUUGCCUAUUUUAGAGUUUCGCAGAAAAAGAAUACCAAACGGAGUCCAAACGGAAUGAAACUUUCGCGAUGAUCUUUCUUGGACCAGAAGGAAACUAGAAGACUUGGAGAAGAAUUCGGAGACGCAACAAGGCGACCACGAGGCAGGAGGGCGUGCCCUAGGGGGUAGGGCACGCCCCUACCUCGUGGGCCCCUCGUGGGUCUCCUGAUCUAGCUCCUUCACAUAUAUAUAUACUCUUAUACCCUAAAAACAUCUAGGAACAUGAAACCACUUUUCCACUGUCGCAACCUUCUAUACCCGUGAUAUCCCAUCUAGGGGCCUUUUCCGGCGUCCUGCUGGAGGGGGAUUCAAUCACGGAGGGCUUCUUCAUCAACACCAUUGCCUCUCCGAUGAUGCAUGAGUAUUUUACCACAGACCUUCGGGUCCAUAGCUAGUAGCUAGAUGGUUUAUUCUCUCUCUUUGAUUCUCAAUAGCAUGUUCUCCUCGAUAUUCUUGGAGAUCUAUUCUAUGUAAUAUUCUUUUGCGGUGUGUUUGCCGAGACCUGACGAAUUGUGGAUUUAUGAUCAGAUUAUCUACGAAUAUUAUUUGGUUCUUCUCUGAAUUCUUAUAUGCAUGAUUUGAUAUCUUUGCAAGUCUCUUCGAAUUAUCGGUUUAUUUGACCUACUAGAUUGAUCUUUCUUGCAAUGGGAGAAGUGCUUAGCUUUGGGUUCAAUCUUGCGGUGUCCUUUCCCAGUGACAGUAGGGGUAGCAUGGCAUGUAUUGUAUUAUUGCCAUCGAGGAUAAAAAGAUGGUGUUUUCAUCAUAUUGCUUGAGUUAAUUCCUCUACAUCAUGUCAUCUUACUUAAUGCGUUAACCUGUUAUUCAUGAACUUAAUACUCUAGAUGCAGGCAGGAGUCGGUCGAUGUGUGGAGUAAUAGUAGUAGAUGCAGAAUCGUUUCGGUCUAUGUGAUGACUAUGUUCAUGAUCAUUGCCUUAGAUAUCGUCAUAACUUUGCGCUUUUCUACCAAUUGCUCGGCAGUAAUUUGUUCACCCACCGUAAUAUUUGCUAUCUUGAGAGAAGCCACUAGUGAAACCUAUGGCCCCCGAGUCUCUUUUGCAUUAUAUUGAAUCUCUUUUACAUCUUACUAGUUUCCGAUCUACUAUUUUGCAAUCUUUUACUUUCCGAUCUUUAAACCAAAAAUACCAAAAAUAUUUACUUUUCCAUUUAUCUAUCUCUAUCAGAUCCCGUGAAGGGAUUGACAACCCCUUUAUCGCGUUGGGUGCAAGUUGUUGAUUGUUUGUGCAGGUAUUCGGUGACUUGUGCAUUGUCUCCUACUGGAUUGAUACCUUGGUUCUCAAACUAAGGGAAAUACUUACGCUACUUCGCUGCAUCACCCUUUCCUCUUAAAGGGAAAAACCAACGCAGGCUCAAGAGGUAGCAAGAAGGAUUUCUUGCACCGUUGCCGGGGAGAUCUACGUCAAGUCAAGCCAUACCAAGUACCCAUCAUAAACUCUUCUCUCUUGCAUUACAUUAUUCGACAUUUGCCUCUCGUUUUCCUCUCCCCCACAUCUAAAACAAUUUUUGAAAAGCUUUACCUUUUCUUCGCCCCUCUUCCAUUCAUUUUUUUCGCUUGCUUCUUGUGUGCUUAUGUGUUUUGCUUUGAUGGCGCAGCCAAAAAGCGUUGAUCUUCACCUUAGGAGGUUGGUAGAAAUUAAAAAUAAUGUUAGAAGCUUUAUGUCUUUACAAUUUGAGCAUAAUAAUUUCUUUAAAAAUGAGCUUAAAGGAAAAAAAGUUUUAUGGAGUAUAUGACUAAAGAGCUCGAUGAUAUGUCUAAAGUAUUUUAUGGUUUGAAAUCUUAGUUUGCUCAUCUUGAAAACUUAGUAGGCCAAAUUUCUGAUAAACAAGCCACCUUAGUUAAUAAGAUGGCCGCUAAACCUGAGGUUCUAAAUAAUAAUGAUGAAGAUCUAAAAGUGAUUGAUGUGGCUCCUAUUAAAUAUUUAUUUUCCAAUAUAAGUCUUGAUAAAUAUGGGACUGGAGAUGAGUCAACUUUAGUUAAAAGGUGUCCCAAUGAUUCAGAGUUUUUAGAUCUAGAUGCUAAAAUUGAUAAAAGUAGGAUUGGAGAGGUCAAGACUUUAAGUAGCAAUGAACCCACUCUUUUGGAUUUCAAGGAAUUUAAUUAUGAUAGUUGUUCUUUGAUAGAUUGUAUUUCCUUGUUGCAAUACAUGUUAAAUUCUCCUCAUGUUUAUAAUCAAAACAAAGCUUUUACUAAACAUAUCGUUGAUGCUAUGAUGCAAUCUUUUGAAGAAAAGCUUGAAUUAGAAGUUUCUAUCCCUAGAAAACUUUAUGAUGAGUGGGAACCUAAUAUUAAGAUUAAUAUUAAAGAUUAUGAAUGCUAUGCUUUGUGUGAUUUGGGUGCUAGUGUUUCCGCGAUUCCAAAAACUUUGUGUGAUUUGUUAGGUUUCCAUGAAUUUGAUGAUUGUUCUUUAAAUUUGCAUCUUGCGGGUUCCACUAUUAAGAAACUAUGGGAAGGAUUAAUGAUGUUCUUAUUGUUUAAAAUAUGAAUUAUGUGCUCAUAGAUUUCAUUGCUCUUGAUAUAGAUUGCAAUCCUACAUGUACUAUUAUUCUUGGUAGACCUUUCCUUAGAACGAUUGGUGCAAUUAUUGAUAUGAAAGAAGGAAACAUUAGAUUCCAAUUUCUGUUAAGGAAAGGAAUGAAACACUUUCCUAGGAAGAAAAUUAAAUUUCCUUAUGAAUCUAUUAUGAGAGCCACAUAUGGAUUGCAUACCAAAGAUGGCAAUGACUAGAUCUAUUCAUAUUUUUAUGCCUAGCUAAGGGCGUUAAACGAAAGCGCUUGUUGGGAGGCAAACCAAUUAUAUUUUUGUUCUCUGCUUUUUGCUCCUGUUUAGUAAUAAAUAAUUCAUCUAGCCUCUGGUUAGAUGUGGUUUUAUGUUUUAAUUAGUGUUUGUGCCAAGUUGAACCUUUAGGAUAGCUUACGGUGAUAGUUGUGUUGAUCCUGCUGAAAAUCAGAAACUUCUGCGCUUAGUAAAUUAGUUUUGGAAAUUCAUAGAAACGUGAUUUUGGUCUGAUUCUUUCUGCCAAGGAUUGGUACACAAAUUCCUCAGGGUUUCCUAAUGUUGAUGAAAUUUUGGAGUUAUAAAAGUAUUAGAGAGUUACAGAUUACUACAUACUGUUCUGUUUUUGACAGAUUCUGUUUUUCGCGUGUUGUUUGCUUAUUUUGAUGAAUCUAUGGGUAGUAUCGGGGGGGGGGUAUGAACCAUGGAAAAUUUUUAAUACAAUAGAUAUUACACCAAUAUAAAUAAAUAAUGAGUUUUCAAUAGUACCUUAAAGUGGUGAUUUAUUUUCUUAUACUAAUGGAGCUCAUGAGAUUUUCUGUCGAGUUUUGUGUUGUGAAGUUUUCAAGUUUUGGGUAAGGAUUUGAUGGACUAUGGAAUAAGGAGUGACAAGAGCCUAAGCUUGGGGAUGCCCAAGGCACCCCAAGGUAAUAUUCAAGGACAACCAAAAGCCUAAGCUUGGGGAUGCCCCGGAAGGCAUCCCCUCUUUCAUCUUUGUCUAUCAGUAACUUUACUUGAGGCUACAUUUUUAUUCACCACAUGAUAUGUGUUUUGCUUGCAGCAUCUUGUAUGAUUUGAGUCUUUGCUUUUUAUUUUACCACAAUAAUCCUUGAUGUACACACCUUUUGGUAGAGACACACAUGAAUCGUGAUUUAUUAGAAUACUCUAUGUGCUUCACUUAUAUCUUUUGAGCUAGGCAAUAUUGCUCUAGUACUUCACUUAUAUCUUUUUAGAGCACGGCGGUGGCUUUAUUUUAUAGAAAUUGUUGAACUCUCAUGCUUUACUAAUAUUAUUUUGAGGGUCUUUUAGAACAGCAUGGUAAUUUGCUUGGGUUAUAAAACUAGUCCUAAUAUGAUGGGCAUCCAAGAGGGAUAUAAUAAAAACUUUCAUAUAAAGUGCACUGAAUACUAUGAGAAGUUUGAUUCUUUAUGAUUGUUUUGAGAUAUGAAGAUGGUGAUAUUAGAGUCAUGCUAGUGGAGUAAUUAUGAAUUUGAGAAAUACUUGUGUUGAGAUUUAUGAGUCACGUAGCAUGCAAGUAUGGUAACCGUUGUGUAACAAAUUUGAAGCAUGAGGUAUCUCUUUGAUUGUCAUUCUUUGUGUGGAGGUCGAGAUCGCGCGAUGGUUAACUCCUACCAACUCUUCCCUAGGAGCAUGCGCAUAGUGCUUGGUUUUGAUGACUUGUAGAUUUUUGCAAUAAGUAUGUGAGUUCUUUAUGACUAAUGUUGAGUCCAUGGAUUAUACGCACUCUCACCCUUCCACCAUUGCCAACCUCUCUUAUGCCGCGCAACUUCCGCUGGUACCAUACACCCACCAUUUACCUUCCUCAAAACAGCCACCAUACCUACCUAUUAUGGCAUUUCCAUAGCCAUUCUGAGAUAUAUUGCCAUGCAACUUUCCACCGUUCCAUUUAUUAUGACACGCUUCAUCAUUGUCAUAUUGCUUUGCAUGAUCAUGUAGUUGACAUCGUAUUUGUGGCAAAGCCACCUUUCAUAAAUCUUUCAUACAUGUCACUCUUGAUUCAUUGCACACCCCGAUACACCGUCGAAGGCAUUCACAUAGAGUAAUAUUUUGUUCUAAGCAUUGAGUUGUAAUUUUUUGAGUUGUAAGUAAAUAGAAGUGUGAUGAUCAUCAUUAUUAGAGCAUUGUCCCAUGUGAGGAAAUAAAAAAGAGGACAAAAAAGCCAAUAAAAAAAGAGGCCAAAGAAGCCAAUCAAAAAAAUGAGAGAAAAAUAGAGAAGGGGCAAUGUUACUAUCCUUUUUCCACACUUGUGCUUUGAAGUAGCACCAUGAUCUUCAUGACAGAGAGUCUCUUAUUUUGUCACUUUCAUAUACUAGUGGGAAUUUUUCAUUAUAGAAGUUGGCUUGUAUAUUCCGACGUUGGGCUUCGUCAAAUGCCCUAGGUCUACAUGAGCAAGCAAGUUGGAUGCACACCUACUUAGUUUCUUUUUUGAGCUUUCAUACACUUAUAGCUCUAGUGCGUCCGUUGCAUGGCAAUCCCUACUCACUCACAUUGAUAUCUAUUGAUGGGCAUCUCCAUAGCCCAUUAAUAUGCCUAGUUGAUGUGAUACUAUCUCCUCUUUUUUUGUCUUCUCCACAACCACCAUUCUAUUGCGCCUAUAGUGCUAUGUCCAUGGCUCACGCUCAUGUAUUGCGUGAAAGUUGAAAAAGUUUGAGAAUACUAAAGUAUGAAACAAUUGCUGGGCUGAAACCGGGGUUGUGCAUGAUUUGAAUAUUUUGUGUGACGAAGAUGGAGCAUAGUCAAACUAUAUGAUUUUGUAGGGACAAGCUUUCUUUGGCCAUGUUAUUUUGAGAAGACGUAAUUGCUUUGUUAGUAUGCUUGAAGUAUUAUUGUUUUUAUGUCAAUAUUAAACUUUUGUUUUGAAUCUUUUGGAUCUGAACAUUCAUGCCACAAUAAAGAAAAUUACAUGGAUAAAUAUGUUAGGUAGCAUUCCACAUCAAAAUUUUUGUUUUUAUCAUUUAUCUACUCGAGGACGAGCAGGAAUUAAGCUUGGGGAUGCUUGAUACUUCUCCAACAUAUCUAUAAUUUUUAUUGUUCCAUGCUAUUAUAUUGUCUAUUUUGGAUGUUUAAUAGGCAUUUAUAUGCUAUUUUAUAUUAUUUUUUGGACUAACCUAUUAACCGAGAGCACAAUGCCAGUUUAUGUUUUUUCGCCUAUUUUAGAGUUUCACAGAAAAGGAAUACCAAAUGGAGUCUAAGCAGAAUGAAACUUUCACGAUGAUCUUUCUUGGACCAGAAGGAAAUCAGAAGACUCGGAAAUGAAGUCGGAGACGCAACGAGGCGGCCACGAGGCAGGAAGGUGUGCCCUAGGGGUAGGGCGUGCCCCCUACCUCAUGGGCCCCUCAUGGGUCUCCUGACCUAGCUCCUUCUCCUAUAUAUACUCUUAUACCCUUAAAAACAUCCAGGGAGCCACAAAACCACUUUUCCAUCGCCUCAACCUUCUGUACCUGUGAGAUCCCAUCUAGGGGCCUUUUAUGGCAUCCCGCCGGAGGGGGAUUCGAUCACGGAGGGCUUCUUCAUCAACACCAUUGCCUCUCCGAUGAUGCGUGAGUAGUUUAGCACAGACCUUCGGGUCCAUAGCUAGUAGCUAGAUGGCUUCUUCUCUCUCUUUAAUUCGCAAUACCAUGUUCUCCUCGAUGUUCUUGGAGAUCUAUUCGAUGUAAUAUUCUUUUGCGGUGUGUUUGCCGAGAUCUGAUGAAUUGUGGAUUUAUGAUCAGAUUAUCUAUGAAUAUUAUUUGGUUCUUCUCUGAAUUCUUAUAUGCAUGAUUUGAUAUCUUUGCAAGUCUCUUCGAAUUACCAGUUUAGUUUGGCCUACUAGAUUGAUCUUUCUUGCAAUGGGAGAAGUGCUUAGCUUUGGGUUCAAUCUUGCGGUGUCCUUUCCCAGUGACAGUAGAGGAAGCAAGGCACGUAUUGUAUUGUUGCCAUCGAGGAUAAAAAUAUGGGGUUUCCAUCAUAUUGCUUGAGUUAAUUCCUCUACAUCAUGUCAUCUUACUUAAUGUGUUAAUCUGUUAUUCAUGAACUUAAUACUCUAGAUGCAGGCAGGAGUCGGUCGAUGUGUGGAGUAAUAGUAGUUGAUGCAAAAUCGUUUCGGUCUACUUGACACAGACGUGAUGCCUAUGUUCAUGAUCAUUGACUUAGAUAUCGUCAUAACUUUGCGCUUUUCUAUCAAUUGCUCGGUAGUAAUUUGUUCACCCACCAUAAUGUUUGCUAUCUUGAGAGAAGCCACUAGUAAAACCUAUGGCCCCCAGGUCUCUUUUCCAUUAUAUUGAAUCUCUUUUACAUCUUACUUGUUUCCGAUCUACUAUUUUGCAAUCUUUUAUUUUCCGAUCUUUAAACCAAAAAUACCAAAAAUAUUUACUUUACCGUUAAUCAAUCUCUAUCAGAUCUCACUUUUGCAAGUGACCGUGAAGGGAUUGACAACUCAUUUAUCGCGUUGGGUGCAAGUUGUUGAUUGUUUGUGCAGGUAUUCAGUGACUUGUGCGUUGUCUCCUCCUGGAUUGACACCUUGGUUCUCAAACCGAGGGAAAUACUUACACUACUUUGCCGCAUCACCCUUUCCUCUUCAAGGGAAAACCAAUGCAAGAUCAAGAGGUAGCAAUCAUCGAUUUGAAGCGGUGAUGGAAGUAUCUGGAGUGAAAACAAGGUAUUUAGAGUAGACAAUGCUACCUGCUGACAUCUUGCUGGUUACAGAUAGCUCCUCAGAGGAGGAUUCAGAGACACAUGACCAGUCCUAUUCCCCCCUGAGGUCUAUGCUCAAACUUGGCAGGGUUAUAUUACUCAUGUCAUGCAUGUUGUCUUGCAUUGCUUAGUUUUUGAAUCAUAUAUUCGAUUGCCAUCUGCUUACUUGCUCAGUAUAUAAAUCAUAUAUUUGAAUUAUAUCAUGCAUCAUGUUUACAUAGACAACAUCUAUCUGAAUUAUGGCAUGCCAACCCAUUUAAUAAAGACAUCAUAUAGUUAUAUCAUCUCAUCUUGUUUAGUGUUUACCGUCAUCAUAUUUUGAAUUAUGUCAUUCUAUUUGUGAAUUAUAUCAUGCUAUCAUGUUUCCAUAGGUGACAUGUAUGUGAAUUAUGGCAUGCCAACCUAUUUAAUAAAUACAUUAUAUAGUUAUAUCAUGUCAUCUUGUUUACAUAGUCAUCAUAUUUUGAACUAUGUCUUUCCAUCCUAUUUAGUUAGCCGUCAUAUAUGCAAAAUUGUGUCAUGCUAUCCUGUUUAGUUAGCCAUCAUAUAUGUGAAAUUGUGUCAUACUAUCAUGUUUAGUUAGACAACAUAAAUGUGAAUUAUUUCAUGCCCUCUUUUAUUCCCCACUAUCCACUACACCUGACUAUCAUACAAUGUAUGUACAUUCAAUUACUUUUCUUGUUUAUCAGCCAUUUGAAUUGGAGAGGGUGAUGGCAGUAUCUAAGGGAGUAACAACACAGUCUUCAAAAAAGAUAGUGCUACCAGUCAAUGCAGAUAGAACCAGAGUUGUACUUGCCCAAGAACCAGCCCUACCACACAUAACCCACACUCCCGCAGAUUGUAUCCCUACCUAGUUGGACAGAGAACCAGCUACGCCCCUUCUAACCCCAACCCCAGCAUAUAGUAACCCAGUUCCAGUUGACACAACACUGUCUCCACCACAGAGCACCCAAACACAAGCAGUUAGUAAGGGAACUGCAGUGCCCAAAGCACGAGGACCACCACUCUGAAUCCCAACUCAAUGCUGAAAGCAGAAGAAGAAUUGUUCUCAGGUCAGGUUCUGUAGCUAUGGUUCAUACUCCUUUGCUCUUGCAUCACUGUAUUUACUCAUACCAACUAUUUUCAAAUUUGAAGGAUGGAAUUGAAACUCCAAUGGUGCAACAGGUAUGUUUCAUACAUAUUUCUUUAAUUGAUUUGCUCGGUAGUUUCGCACACUUAUAUUCUGUCUAUUCUACUUUGUCUUAAACAUAUAUUUUUUGAACUGUGUCUCUAUCUUGAUUUGGCAACAAAAACUAGAAUGAUAUGGACCAUACAGUGACCAUGGUACGUAGAUAUAUGUUUGUUUCAUGUUGUUAUCCUAUCCACUUUACUACUGAACUGAUUUACCAAAAUGAGUUUCAUAUACAACAUGGUAAACUUGUGAUGUGUCUGCUUGUUUCUCUUUUAGAAUGUGGACAAAAUAUUGGAGAAGAGUACCUCGUUAUGCAAUGGUAAAGGAAGUAAUGCAGAUAAUGUUCAAGAUAGUGAGACAUCCCUGUUGGUCUCCAAGAAAGCUGAUUAAAACUCUCUUGACGACAGUGAGACAACCCAAAAGUCAUGUCUUGACAUAGUGUUCGAGUUACUGGCCACUAUUGCUGGCACAAGCUCGUCGAACUCGCUGCCUAAAUCAGUUCUUCUUCUUGAGUCUCAACUUCAAGUUGAAAGACAUCGAUCAGAUGUGCUACGACACGAAGCCGAAGGACUGAGAAAGUCCAAGAAGAAUUCAGAUGCAUACUUUCUAGUGCAACAGCAAGCGCUGGAGGAUUUAAGUGUCAAACAAGAGAAAGUUAAUAAGCUUGCUAACCAUCUUGCUAGCAUAAUGUUAACCCAGGAUAUCGUUUCUUGAGCUCUUGUGAAGUGGUUUUAGUUCUGGACUUGUUUUGUUGCGGCAUUUAUUUGCACUGGUCGCCAACUUUGACAACCAGUGUAUGUGAUAUGUUGCUUUGUUCCCUAUAUUUGCACCGGUGGCAAACUUUGAUGCCUAGUGGAUGUAAUAUGUGUAAUAGCCAUGAUAGCCUAGCGUAAGUUGCUUGCUUAUUUAUUUCAUUUUUCUUGUUUAUUUGUUUUCUUGUAGUCAACGCAGUUCUUUUUCCGUGGUUUGCUAGUGGCCGCAAUAACCUAUUGUUUAAAACUAGGCCGCAAUAACCAUGGGUUACAUAUUUACUGUAGUGACCAUGGGUCUCCUACGGGCCAUAGAAACAAUGGGCCUUCUAUGGGCCGCAGCAUCAAUGGGCCUUCUACGGGUCAUAUGAUCAACUGGCCAAACAUGGGCCAAUAACAGACCACAUUAUGGGUCGUAAACAGGCUAGAGUUGGAAUCGUCCAUUCAUGGGCCGACCAUAAUGGGUCGUCGUUAAUCGGCCGUAUUUGAUGACACUAUGAAAACGGCCCAAUGGAUUAACGGGCCACAAACGGGCCGACUAUAACCACGGGCUGAAUUUGGCCCACAAGCAGAAAAGGUUAGUAACGGGCCGUAAGUAACCGAAUGCUGGAAAUGACCCCAAGAAUAAAUGGGCCCUGAGAAGGCCGAAAGAUAACACAGGUUGGAAAUGGCCCAAUGGAAUAAUGGGACGUUAAUGGGUAUAAAGUGGUACACUAUUCAUUACGGGCCAGUUUCACCAUGGGUUGCUCAUAUGGGCCAAGAGUUACAAAGGGCCUCAUAUGGGCCGAAAGACAUCAUGGGCCAUACAUGGGCCGGAAGUUAUAAUGGGCUGGAAUCAUAUUGGACGGCCCAGAUGAAGCUACUGGGCUUAAUUCGGAUAGGCUGUAAUGGGUCGUGAGUUAGCGGGCCGUAAAUGGGCUAUAUAUGAACAUGCCGUUAAAAGGCUUUCCGUGGGCCGGCCCACUAUCUUUUGACCAACUCAAACGGGCAUAUCGAUAUUAGGAUUUGUCACUCCGAGUAUCGGAGAGGUAUCUAUGGGCCCUCUUGGUAAUACACAUCAUAAGAAGCCUUGCAAGUAAAGUGACUAAUGAGUUAGUUGCGGGAUGAUGUAUUACGGAACAAGUAAAGAGACUUGCCGGUAACGAGAUUGAAGUAGGUAUGAAGAUACCGACGAUCGAAUCUCGGGCAAGUAACAUACCGAUGACAAAGGGAAUAACAUAUGUUGUCAUAAUGGUUCGACCGAUAAAGAUCUUCGUAGAAUAUGUCGGAGCCAAUAUGAGCAUCCAGGUUCCGCUAUUGGUUAUUGACCGGAGAGGCGUCUCGAUCGUGUCUACAUAGUUCUCGGACCCGUAGGGUCCGCACGCUUAAUGUUCGAUGACGAUAUUGUAUUACAUGAGUAUACGAUUUGGUGACUGAAUGUUGUUCGGAGUCUCGGAUGAGAUCACGGACAUGAUGAGGAGUCUCGAAAUGGUUGAAAAAAAACUGAUAUAUAGGACGAUAGUAUUCAGACACCGGAAGUGUUCCGGAGGGUAUCGAGUACAUAUCGGGUCACCGGAAGGGGUAUCGGGAACCCCCGACAAAAGAUAUGGGCCUUUUGGGCCAAGAGGGGAAACACACCAGCCACCAGGGGCUAGUGCGCCCCCAUAUGGGCCGAACCAGGAGGAUAAGUAAAGAGGUCAAGGGAAAAGGAAAGGCGGGAUUCGGCCUCCCCCUUCCUUCCCUCCUCCCUUCUCUUUCCUUACUCUCCGGCAAAUGAGGAAAGGGGGCCGAAUUGGGGAGAGACCCUGUCGUGGGAAACCACGACCACCUAUGGGACGAAGGUUCCCUUGCUGGUUUGGCAGGGGGAUGUCACGUCGCACAAAGAACAGAAGAGCAUGGGACAGCACGACAAAAAUCACAUAGGCAAUUUACCUAGGUUCUGGCCGCCGUGAGGCAUAAAACCCUACUCCCGCUUUGGUGGAUUGAUGGUGGAAGAAUGGUGGUAGAGCGCAAUACACUUGCCCGACAGGGUUGCCUAUGGGCGGCAGUGGCUACGCGCGUAUGAGUGUGUGGGUAUCCAGCCUUCUCACCCCUUCUACCUUUGCCACGGGACUCCUUUUAUGAUUAAGGGGUCGCCACAAUGCAAAAUCAUUCAUUAUGAACUGAUAAGAUAGAAAAGAGUGCUAUCAUACCUAACUCUGCAGGCUGACAGAGCGCAUUAAAUGUGCCGCUCAAUGUCACAUCAUUAUUUGCUCGGGAAGCCUUGCCGGGCUAUUUUGCCAGCUUCACGCCUGCUUGCUAGACCCGUCACAGGACGGGUGUCGUCUGUAGGUAUUUCCUGUAGAAAGAGGCUGCCAUGUGGCGAAUGGCUGCCACUUAAUCACUUCGCGUCUUGACACUGCACUAAUUGACGACAAGGGUCAUGGCAGAGUGGUUGGGUGAGGUGAUUUUUGCCUUUGUGAGUCCCGGCAGGCCCUGCCGGGAUGUCUUGGAUGUUCUCUUCCAGGGCGACCCCGCCCUUGCCGAGCUCAUCUGCCCGGCAAAGGGAGGUUUUUCUCCUGGUGGUUUCUUGGUUCUCUGGCUCGACCUUGGUCCUCUUGAUCUGCAUGUUGGUCAUUCAGAGGUCUUGGUCUCCUAUACUCUAGCAUGGCUGGUGCCAUAAUCUUCUUACCGUGCCUGUGCACAGUCUGGGCAAUAGACCUAGGGUUUGUUGCACUGACAGAAUCCCCCAGGCCUGCCCUGAUCAUGCUGCCGAGCAUCGUCGGGGUAGGCCCUAAUAAGUGCACAUGCAGGGGUGCCAAAGAGGCUGGCCCCUUGAGGUCUUGUUUGCUUCUUCAUUAAUCUCGAGCCCGAGCCAGUUUCUGGUUUUCCCGCGCGUCGUGUAAAGCCAACGGUGGUGGGGCCACCCUUGUAAUGGCACGUGAAUGACUUGAACGCAUGGGGUAGAAACUGCCAAUUCACACUUCCCACCACGCUCUUAUUCUCAGCCACGUAUGUUGCAUGCAUCGCAUGGGGUAGGUAACGGAGGCGCGUGGCGCUAGAAAGGACACGAGGGCCCGGCCUUCUUGCAUAGGCGGAGGAGGAAGGCGGUCGCUCGUUGAGGGAGCGGCUCCCCUACUUGGCCUGCCUAUAAAAGGAGGGGUAAAGGGAGGGCUGGUCCAUCCAUCCUUGCGUCCCCCUUCCUCCUCUAUUUUCUGCUUCCCGUUGGUGAUGUCGAAGAGAAGAGCUAAUAUGUCUCCAACGUAUCGGUAAUUUAUGAAGUAUUCAUGCCAUUAUAUUAUCAUUCUUGGAUGUUUUACAAUCAUUUUAUAACAACUUUAUAUCAUUUUUUGGGACUAACCUAUUGACCCAGUGCCUAGUGUCAGUUGCUGUUUUUUGCUUGUUUUUUUUACAUCGCAGGAAAUCAAUAUCAAACGGAGUCCAAACACUGCAAAAUUCCUUGGAGAAUUUUUAUGGACUAGAACACCCAUGAUGGGCCAGAGCAGCACCUGGGGGGUGCCCCGAGGGAGGCACAACCCACCAGGGCGCGCCUGGGGGCCCAGGCGCACCCAGGUGGGUUGUGCCCACCUCGGUGGCCUCCCACACCCCUUCUUAGACCUAUAAAAUUCCAAAUAUUUCAAAACCCUUUGGGGUAGCCCUAGAUCAGAAGUUCCGCCGCCGCAAGGCCUCUAUAUCCACAAGAUCCAAUCUAGACCCCGUUCCGACACCCUGCCGGAGGGGGUAAUCAUCACCAGUGGCCAUCUUCAUCAUCCCGACAGCCAGCACGAUGAGGAGGGAGUAGUUGAAAGUGCAACUAUCCCUGGGUGGUUUUGGUAAUGAUUAACAACAUAUAGCUCAUUGAACUAAUGCUAUUUCAAGAUGAAUAUUUCAGGAAAGUUCAAUGAUUGGCAUGGCAUGCAUUAGGAAUGUGGACCCCCCAAAUGCUAAGGACAAAGGAUUGGCUCAAGCUCUAAAGCUCAAGACUCUACAUUUUACUUUUAGUGAUCCAAGAUCACAUUGAGUCCAUAGGAAAAGCCAAUACUAUUAAUAGGGGAUGAGGUGUUGCUUAAUGGCUUGCUUGCUCAAAAUGCUUUGUGAUAUGCUCCAAAGCCCUCAACCACUUUCUCAUAUCCACAUAUGUCCCAAACCAAAAGUCAAACUCGGCCCCACCGAUUUGAUCCAUCCGGCGCCACCAAGUUCAUUUGACAUAGCCACCGCCAGAAACCCUAGUCACUUUGGUAUCACCGAUAGGGAUCUCGGUCUCACCGAGAUGGGAUUGCAAACUCUCUAUUUCCCUUCGUAACGUUUCAGUCUAACCGAGAUGAGCGAUCGGUACCACCGAGUUCGCGAUGCAAACUCCCUGUUUCCCCUUCGUAACAUUUCGAUCUCACCGAGAUGAGCAGAUCGGUCCCACCAAGUUUGCCUGAACAACUCUUUGGUUAGCUUAUUAUCAAAGUCGGUCCCAUCGAGUUUGUGGAAUCGGUCUCACCGCUAUUACGUUAUGCCCUAACCCUAACGAAAUUGGUCCCACCAAGUUGAUGUGUGGGUCCCAUCGAAAUGCCUAAUAGUAACAUUAUGAACUAAAUCGGUCUGACCGAGUUUUCUGAUUCGGUCCCACCGAGUUUGGUAAAUUGUGUGUAAUGGUUAGAUUUUGUGUGGACGCUAUAUAUACCCCUCCACCAUUUCUUCAUUCUAAGAGAAAGCCAUUAGAACAUGCCUACACUUCCAACAUUCAUUUUUUGAGAGAGGCCACCUAUUUAUGUGUUGAGGCCAAGAUAUUCCAAUCCUACCAUAUGAAUCUUGAUCUCUAGCCUUCCCCCAAGUUGCUUUCCACUCAAAUCAUAUUUCCACCUAUGGGACCAAGGGUCCCUUGCUGGUUUGGCAGGGGGAAUACCAAAUGGAGUCUAAGCGGAAUGAAACUUUCAUGAUGAUCUUUCUUGGACCAGAAGGAAACCAGAAGACUUGGAGAUGAAGUCGGAGACGCAACGAGGCGGCCAUGAGGCAGGAGGGUGCGCCCUAGGGGUAGGGCGUGCCCCCCUACCUCAUGGGCCCCUUGUGGGUCUCCUGACCUAGCUCCUUCUCCUAUAUAUACUCUUAUACCCUAAAAACAUCUAGGGAGCCACGAAACCACUUUUCCAUUGCCUCAACCUUCUGUACCUGUGAGAUCCCAUCUAGGGGCCUUUUAUGGCAUCCUGCCAGAGGGGGAUUCGAUCACGGAGGGCUUCUUCAUCAACACCAUUGCCUCUCUGAUGAUGCGUGAGUAGUUUAGCACAGACCUUCGGGUCCAUAGCUAGUAGCUAGAUGGCUUCUUCUCUCUCUUUAAUUCUCAAUACCAUGUUCUCCUCGAUGUUCUUGGAGAUCUAUUCGAUGUAAUAUUCUUUUGCGGUGUGUUUGCCGAGAUCCGAUGAAUUGUGGAUUUAUGAUCAGAUUAUCUAUGAAUAUUAUUUGGUUCUUCUCUGAAUUCUUAUAUGCAUGAUUUGAUAUCUUUGCAAGUCUCUUCGAAUUACCAGUUUAGUUUGGCCUACUAGAUUGAUCUUUCUUGCAAUGGGAGAAGUGCUUAGCUUUGGGUUCAAUCUUGCGGUGUCCUUUCCCAGUGACAGUAGAGGAAGCAAGGCACGUAUUGUAUUGUUGCCAUCGAGGAUAAAAAGAUGGGGUUUUCAUCAUAUUGCUUGAGUUAAUUCCUCUACAUCAUGUCAUCUUACUUAAUGUGUUAAUCUGUUAUUCAUGAACUUAAUACUCUAGAUGCAGGCGGGAGUCGGUCGAUGUGUGGAGUAAUAGUAGUUGAUGCAAAAUCAUUUCGGUCUACUUGACACAGACGUGAUGCCUAUGUUCAUGAUCAUUGACUUAGAUAUCGUCAUAACUUUGCGCUUUUCUAUCAAUUGCUCGGUAGUAAUUUGUUCACCCACCAUAAUGUUUGCUAUCUUGAGAGAAGCCACUAGUAAAACCUAUGGCCCCAGGUCUCUUUUCCAUUAUAUUGAAUCUCUUUUACAUCUUACUUGUUUCCGAUCUACUAUUUUGCAAUCUUUUAUUUUCCGAUCUUUAAACCAAAAAUACCCAAAAUAUUUACUUUACCGUUAAUCUAUCUCUAUCAGAUCUCACUUUUGCAAGUGACUGUGAAAGGAUUGACAACCCCUUUAUCGCGUUGGGUGCAAGUUGUGGAUUGUUUGUGCAGGUAUUCAGUGACAUGUGCGUUGUCUCCUACUGAAUUGACACCUUGGUUCUCAAACUGAGGGAAAUACCUACACUACUUUGCCGCAUCACCCUUUCCUCUUCAAGGGAAAACCAACGCAAGCUCAUGAGGUAGCAAUCAGCCAUUUGAAGCGGUGAUGGAAGUAUCUGGAGUGAAAACAAGGUAUUCAGAGCAGACAAUGCUACCUGUUGAAGCAGACAUCUUGCUGGUUACAGAUAGCUCCUCAGAGGAGUUGAACCAAGAAGUUUGUACGGGCAAGGAGAUCACCUACUUCGUGAAGAUUUACUUUGGUGAGGCAAGUCCUUCGUGGGCGAUGGCCAUGGUGGGAUAGACAAGGUUGCUUCUUCGUGGACCCUUCGUGGGUGGAGCCCUCCGUGGACUCGCACAGUUGUUACCCUUCAUGGGUUGAAGUCUCCAUCAACGUCGAUGUAUGAUAGCACCACCUAUCGGAACCACGCCAAAAAUCUCCGUGUCUCCAAUUGCGUUUGCACACUCCAACUCCUCCCUUUACCUUCAUGUGCAAUGUUUUACAUUCUGCUGCUAUACUCUUAGCAUUGCAUGUGUAGGUUGAUUGCUUGACUUGUGUAAAGUUGCUAAAAUCUGCCAAGACUUAACAUUGGGAAAAGGCUAGAUUUUUAUUUGGUCAAGUAGCCUAAUCACCCCCUCUGGACAUACUUACGAUCCUACAAGUGGUAUCAGAGCCACGGUCUCCAAUUGCCUUGAUUUCCAUAGAUUUUGGUGAUCAUAGCCUUGGUUUCACAUCCUAGGAGUGUAUGGGGUCUAGCGAGGGAAAUUACCACCGUAGAGGUCCUUAGUUUGAUGGUUCUAAUUUUGCUAGUUGGAAGCAUAAGAUGGAAAUGCAUAUUCUUGGACAUAACCCCGCCAUUUGGGCUAUUGUGUGUAUUGGAUUGCAAGGUGAAUUCUUCGACGAGAGAGAACCAAAUCGUGAAGCUACCGCGGAAGAGUUGAAGAUGCUGCAAUACAACACUCAAGCUUGUGAUAUUCUCUUCAACGGAUUGUGCCCCGAAGAAUUCAACAAAAUUAGUCGUAUUGAGAAUGCAAAGGAAAUUUGGAAUACUUUUAUUGAUAUGCACGAAGGUACUAACUCCGUCAAGGAAUCCAAAUUGGAUGUGCUUCAAAGUCAGCUUGACAAAUUCAAAAUGAAGGAUGGUGAAGGUGUGCUGAAAUGUACUCUAGGCUUGCUCUCAUCACAAAUGAGUUUGCAGGCUUAGGAAGUGAAGAGAUGACCGAUAGAUUCAUCAUCAAGAAGAGCUAAGAGCCUUGGAUGGAAAAUAUGAUACCGUGUGCACAUUGAUCCAAAUGAUGCCCAAUUACAAAGAUCUCAAGCCAACGGAAGUCACUGGAAGAAUUGUUGCCCAUGAGAUGUCACUCAAGGAUAAAGAAGAGCUUCACAACAAGUCAAGUGGUGCUUACAAAGCCUCAUGUGAUGCUCCUACAUCAUCAAGUGAGAAACAAACCUUCAAUGAAGAAUUGAGCCUAAUGGUGAAGAACUUCAACAAGUUCUACAAGAGUAGAAGCAAGGAAAGAAGUUCCAAGUCAUGGUCCUACAAUGAAAAAAGAUCUUUGAGUCAUGAACGUAAUUGCUACAAUUGUGGAAGACCCGGACACUACUCCAAUGAGUGUACGGCUCCCUACAAAAGUAGAGAAGAUUCACCUAAAAGAAGGAGUAGAAGAGAAGAAUCACCACCAAGAAAGAUAAGGAGUAGAGAUGAUCGUUAUGAACGAAGAACCUCCCAGAGAAGCAAGGAUUCGGAAAGGAAGGACAAAUCAUCAAAGAUCUACACAACAUGAAGACAUCAAGCUCACGUUGGUGAAUGGGUAUCCGGCUCCGAUUUCGACCAUCACUCCGAAAGAAGUUAUCACUCCGACUCCUAAUAUACUCAAGAUGAAGGUAUUGCCGGACUAGCAAAAAGGCAAGGAUAAGCUUCAAGAAGAGAUUGAUGCAUUUGAAGAAGCUCCCAAGGCCUUGGUCAAGUGGGUUCCCAAGACUACAUCAAGUUCUACUUCAUCAAGUACGACUACAACCCAAAGGAUCCCCAUCAACAUGAUGUGGAUUCCGAAGAAGAAGUACUAGAGAGUUCUUGAGGGUGACUCCGCCAACACACUUCACCCAUAUCAUUUUGGCAAGAACAAGUGCAAACAACUUCCAUAUCUUGCACUAGUUCAAGGAGUCACAAACCCUCUUGUUGGUAAGACAAGGGACAAGGUAACAUAAUGCUUUCAUGGACAUCAUCGUGUGUGAACAUCACUCUAUGUCUAUGGAUAUCCUUGUUUGUUCCUUGUGGGACUAACCCAUGUAGGUAUUGAAAGUGCAACUCACUCCAAUGGAUUGCUCCAAAUGAUCUACAUCAACAUUGAGCGUGUAACGCCCUGGAUGCAACUUUCCAUAUUCGUAACUCCAACUCUUGCCUUUUCCAGAGAUGCGAUAUGAUAUUUCCUUCGUGGUUGGGUUUUUGCCUUUUGUUUUGCUUUUUGUUCAUGUCAUGCAUUUCAUCUCAUGUCAUCAUUCGCAUUGCAUCGGCAUUGUUUUCUUAAAACGUGCAUCCGUUGUUAGUUGCCGCUUCUUCCUUGUCUCUGCUGACCUUUCCCAGACCGACCAUUCUAUUUUUGCCUGACCGUUUGUCCACCCUCUCUACACUUUGCUCUGACCCCCUCGCGUGCGUUCGAGACUUCCCCGAACCCGACCUGCUCAAUCAUCACCGUUGGAUCCGGAUCAUCCCCUAAGGUCUAUAAAACAUCUCCGCUUUCUCUUUUGACUCCCUAACCCAUAUAUCUCGGGCCGUCCGAUUACGAUCAUAGGGACCGAAUAGCCCUAUGCUAAACCACCUAGUAUAUAUAUAUAUGCAGAUGAAACCCUAGCCCUGUCCCAUCCAUCCAGCAAAUCCUCCCCACCGCCGCUCCUCUCUUCCUUGGGAUCGCUCCCGAUCCAAAAUCCACCAACCAGAGCUAGUGCCCGAUCCAGAUCCUCUCUCGCCCUCCAACCACGUCCCUUGUUCUCCGUGCCGCUCCAUUCCUAGCCUCCCACGCGCAGCCGCAUGCCCGACCUCGAGCUCUCCCGUAGCCAGUCGGCGCUUGAUCCAGGUUGGAUCGAGGCCACGGCCUUGCUCACUUUGUCUCCUCCGCCCUAGCCACCGCACGGGAGAUGCCCGAGCGCUCCUCCUCCUCACGACCCGCGCCACCCCGGCGAGCGUGCUAGCCGGCGACCUCGAUCCCAGGACCGGCCUCGCCUCCCUUCUCCUCCGUCCCCUCCUUCCCUUUGCUUUCUCUCUCUCUCCCUCUCAUCUCCCUGCUGCCUCUCUCUCGCAGGGACUAGCAGGAGCGCCAUGGCCGCCCGAUGCUCAAGCCACCACCGGGAACCGCCCCUCCGCCGUUGUGUUGCUCCGCCCUCGCCGUCGUCCUGCUGCACUCGGAUCCGCCGCCACGCCCUGCCGGCCUGCUUCCUCCUCUACCGCCACGCCUGACCCCUGCUUCGACCUGCUGUUGCGCCCCUUCUUCCUCUGCUUUGAGGACGAGCCAGGCGCCCGCGUUGACUUUUCGUCGUGAGACUCCAGCCGACCCCGUCCGCAUCGCCAAGGCCUAGCAGCCGCAUCCAAAUCUGCGCCAGGCCCAGCGCGCCUCAGCUCCCUCCUCCACCGACUAGGCCUCGGCCCAUGGUGAGCCUCCAGCCUAUCCGUCGCCCCAGCGCACCACAUGUUAGCUUGCACCCACCAGAUUUGGCCUGACAUGUUUUUUUUCCAGACCCGCGAAUUUUGCUAAUUAUUCCAGGUUUUACAGAUUUGCAGAAAACCCCUCUUACAUCAUACAUUUAAUAACUAAACAUGCAUGCAUCCAAAUUAAACAAACUAUAUAUGUAAAAUGCUUAGAAUUUCAUCUAGUUUAAUAUUUUGCCACUCUCACCCAUGUGUAAAAAAUGUAAAAAAUGUUGUUUGUUUAAAUUUGUAAAAAUACCAUGUUAAAAUGAUUUAUUUCAUAACUAAAUAACCAUAGCUCCAUUUUAAAUAAACGUUAUAUGUAAAUGGGGUGGAAAAAAUACAUAGAUUAACUUGCUGCACUUUAUUUUGCUGUUUAACAACAUUAAAAUUGUGUUUAGGGCAGAAUAGUACCAAAUUCAUAAUUUGCAUAUGGGGAUUUUCCGGAAUUGUUGUUUGUUGUUCCGGCCUCAUUUAAACUUGCCUAGAUAGGUAAUUUUCAUAUGCUUCACCCCUUGCCAUGUUUAACAACAUUUAAUAUUAUUGGGUAGCAUAAACAAGAUCGAACUAAAUAAAUGUUGUUUAGUUUCGCCAAUAUGCAACUCGUUGCAUAUGGAGCUCCACUUAACUUGUAGUAUUGCUUGUUGCAUUUUGCCAUGCCAUGCCAUGCUAUUUAAACCGGACAUGCAUCAUACUUGAAUUGUGCAUCAUGCCAUGUUUAUGCUUGUGCAUUUACCAUGUUGUUUGUUUCUUUCCGGUGUUGCUUCUUAGUUCCGGUAAUGUUGCGAUUGUGAGGAUUCGUUCGACUACGUCCGUUCGUCUUCUUCAUGGACUCGUUCUUCUUCCUAGCGGGAUUUCAGGCAAGAUGACCGCUACCCUGGAUCUCACUACUAUCAUUGCUAUGCUAGUUGUUCCGUUCUAUCGCUAUGCUGCGCUACCUAUCACCUGUUCUUCAAGCCUCCCUAAUUGCCAUGAACCUCUAACCUUUGACACCUUUCCUAUGCAAACCGUUGUUUGGCUAUGUUACCGCUUUUGCUCAACCCCUCUUAUAGCGUUGCUAGUUGCAGCUGAAGUUGAAGAUUUCUCCAUGGUGGACAGGAUUUUGGUUGGGAUAUCACAAUAUCUCUUAUAUUAUUAUUAAUGCAUCUAUAUACUUGGUAAAGGGUGGAAGGCUCGGCCUUAUGCCUGGUGUUUUGUUCCACUCUUGCCGCCCUAGUUUCCAUCAUACCGGUGUUAUGUUCCCGGAUUUUGCGUCCCUUACGCGGUUGGGUGAUUUAUGGGACCCCCUUGAUAGUUCGCUUUGAAUAAAACUCCUCCAGCAAGGCCCAACAUUGGUUUUACAAUUUGCCUCACCACCACCUACUUUUACCUUGGGAGUCGCUCUCUUGAGGGUCAUCUUUAUUAUAACCCCCCCGGGCCAGUGCUUGUCUAAGUGUUGGUCCGAACUAGAGCCCUUUGCAGUGCCCCCUCAGGGAAACUUGAGGUCUAGUUUUAGUUGUACGGAUUGCUCAUCCGGUGUUGCCCUGAGAACGAGAUAUGUGCAGCUCCUAUCGGGAUUGUCGGCGCAUCGGGCAGUCUUGCUGGUCUUGUUUUACCAUUGUCGAAAUGUCUUGUAAACAGGGAUUUCGAGUCUGAUCGGGUCUUCCUGGGAGAAGGUAUAUCCUUCGUUGAUCGCGAGAGCUUAUCAUGGGCUAAGUUGGGACACCCCUGCAGGGUAUAAACUUUCGAAAGUCGUGCCUGCGGUUAUAGGCAAAUGGGAAUUUGUUAAUGUCCGGUUGUAGAUAACUUGACACCAGAUUCGAAUUAAAAUGCAUCAACAGCGUGUGUAGCCGUGAUGGUCUCUUCUCGGCGGAGUCCGGGAAGUGAACACGGUUUUUGGGUUAUGUUUGACGUAAGUAGGAGUUCAGGAUCACUUCUUGAUCAUUGCUAGCUUCACGACCGUUCCGCUUGUUUCUCUUCUCGCUCUUAUUUGCGUAUGUUAGCCACCAUAUAUGCUUAGUCGCUGCUGCAGCCUCACCACUUUACCCAUUCCUUUCCCUUUAAGCUUUGCUAGUCUUGAUACCCAUGGUAAUGGGAUUGCUGAGUCCUCGUGGCUCACAGAUUACUACAACAACAGUUACAGGUACAGGUAAUGCGAUGAUCAUGACGUGAGAGCGAUGUUACUUGUUUUGGAGUUCUUCUUCUGCUUCUUCUUUGAUCAGGGGAUAGGUUCUAGGUCGGCAACCUGGGCUAGCAGGGUGGAUGUCGUUUGAGUUUCUGUUUGUGUUUCAUUCGUAGUCGGAUGAUGCUUUUAUGUAUUGUGAUGAUGUAUUCGUGUGGCAUUGUAUGCCUUAUGUAUGUAUCCCCAUCUAUUAUGUAAUGUUGAUGUAAUGAUAUCCACCUUGCAAAAGCGUUUCAAUAUGCGGGUCUAUCCUUGGUGGGACCUUCGAGUUCCUUUUGGAUAGGGUCGCAUAUUGGGCGUGACAAGUUGGUAUCAGAGCCUCGACCGACUAUAGGAGCCCCCUUGAUUGUUGGCCGUUGUUGAGUCUAGAAGAAAACUAUUUUUGAGUCUUAGGAUUAUAUAUAUCGGAGAGUAGGAUUCUUUUUACUCUUCAGCCCCCUUCGUCGCUCUGGUGAGGUCUCCUGACGUAGAUGUUUUGUCUUUCCUCUCCUCAAAUUUCACUAAUUUUUUUUAGGAUCACGCGGGUAUCUUAGAAUUGUUCCGAUGGUUUUGUGACGAGAACAUUGUUCUUGGUGCCUCCUGUCUAUUAUGUGGCAUUGACCCGGGGAGUUGAGCUCCGAGGUGUUGUCGUCACAAUUUUAUCGUUGCAGUUCUGGAAUACCUGAAUUUUUGCCGACAUCGAAAAUAUCUUUAAUGCAGUUGUUGGUGAGAUAACCUCGACGCCACCCAGUACUGGGGCAGGAGUUCGGGAGUAUUGCCAUAGCUCGUAUAAUGUAUGUUUUUCGAAGGUUGAGGUACACGAUUUCCGGAAUUUUCUUGGUUAUGUGUUGAUGGAUGGAUACAGCUGGAUGUAGGUAUUGUUAGUUUGGGUGAGAUAUAUUGCUUCCCCUGUAUCCCCAACACCAGAUUGCAUAACCAGAAAGUUUCGGGAGUUUAUAGGUGGGAAUUCAAGUAGCUCCUAUAAUAUCUUUCCGACAGAUGCCUGAUAUGGGAUUGGGUAAAUCUCUAUCAUAUGUAUUUGUUCCGGCUUAUUCUGCAAGCCAAAUCCUUUGUUUUGUUUAUUUUUAGUAUUCGAGUUGCUUCGAAGUCAAAUGUUGAAUCCAUACCUUUCCUAAACGGUGUUCUCAUAUUGCUAUGUGAAUACUAAUCUUUCUUGAUCAUCGAGGUCGUCAUGUCAAUUCUUUUCCAACCGGCGUGCUUCUCUUCAAGUGGAUCCGAUCAUUUCAACAUUUGUGAGAUCGGUUCUAAGUUUUCUCAACGGUAUCUGUUUCAUCCGUCCCCAAGUUUCCUUUGUUUUCCCGCCCUCCCACCCUUUUUCUUCAAGGACUCAGAUUUCUUAAUCAUGUACCCUUUUAUUUGUGGGAAGUCUCUUCAUUCUUUUCUUUCAAUGUUCUUAUCCGGUGAUUUCCCAUGAAGAUGCUCAACAGUUUCAAGUUCAUCAUUCUUCAUUGUUGUUUCUUCUCCGGUGGAUCCAAUUCAAGCUUUCGAUAUUCAUCAUAUUCCUUUCCUCGUGUCAAAUGCUUUCUCAUGUCGGUGCACCUCUCAAUCACUCACCUCUGACUAUUCAUUUGUUCCAGAGUGUUGAAGAUAUCUCAGAAGAUUUGUGUUUCCAUUCUUAGUCCGUUCAAGCUAUUCGGAGAUUGUUAUCUCACUCAAGCUAUUUAAUCCUACCGGUGCAAUCUCUAUUUCAAGCAAUCCUUCAAUGAUGUUUCUUUCCAGUGGGCCCUAACCCACAGGUCUUUUCCCAGGAUCUUACCUGACUCUUCUAAUUUUCCCGAAGCCAUUCCCAAAUUCUUUUCGAAGUUUGACGUAAGAAUGAAUUAUCAUCAGUCAUAUUCCUUCUUCAAGAUCGCUUUUAAAACAUUUUCAUCGUUGGUUCAACAUUUCUAUUCUUCUUUGCUCCGGAGUAUCUCAUAAAUUGUCAUGGUGGUUCUCAUCUUCAUUCUCAACAUUUGAAGACCGAAGAAGUGUUUCCUCUAAAUCUUGUCCCUUCUCUCGAAGAUUCAUGGCUCUCUUAAAUUCUUUUCACCCAUCUAGAGCAAUUCAAGAGUCUUUUUAGAUUGAUUCUCCAUAGCCCAUCAUCUCAGAAUUAUUCAUUCAAGCUUUUAGCUCUCAUUCUCCAAAUCAGACCAGUGCAUCUUUCAAGUAUUAUCUAAUCAGCUCGGGAUCUCUACGUUCACUUGUAUCUAAAUCCCCUCAGGUAUCUUCAUUCAUUUUCCAAUUCUUCCCGGUGAAUUGUGGCUUUGCUACUUUCAUUUUCAAUUCUUAUGGUGGUUCGUUCAAGAUUUCUCUUCCUUCGUUAUCGUAUCAAUUCAUUCAUUCUUUCGUUGUUUCAAUCCCACCGGUGGUUCCAUCAAUAUCUUCUCAAGUUUGCGCUAUCUCUAUCCUUAAUCCCGUAAGAAGAAUAAGUAGUAUGCCAAAUCUGUUGCUUGUCAUCAAUUUAAAUUGGUGAAGGAUACGCAUAAUGUAAUUCUUAUUAUUCUUUCAUCCAAGUGAUCUAGUUUCUUUUUUCCAAAGUUAUUCAUCAUGUCACAUUUCUCGGUUCGAGAUGCUUCAUCUUUUUUUUUCUGGAGUUCCAGGUUUUCUGGAGCCUCCAGCUAGAUCAUCGCAAGGCUUCACCUUGUGUUUUCAACUUCUCUUUCUUUUUAUCAUCCUUUUAUUACUGGAGUUCUCCAUGGAGGCUCUACAUGGUGGUUCGUCAAGGAUUCUAUUCAUUCUUCAAUUGUUCUUCAAGAUUUCUCUUGAAGUUAAGAUCAGCCAAGCUAUACUCUAAAAAUAAACAUGGUGCUCAACACAUGUUUUGUUUUGGGGAGUUCUAGCAUUCUUCAUCUUGCAUCCGGAGUGCAAUUCUUUCUAGAUUAGCUUUUGAGGUGGUGUUAUGUCAUUCUUGAUAAUUUUCCUUCUUGUUUCUCGAUUCACAUGUUGUCAAGAAUGAGGUAUUUUAAACCCAUCAUUUUCUUCCUUGGAGUUAUCUUGUGUCAUAUUUCACCUAAAGCCUUUCCUUAAGGGUUGUCGCUAUUUGUGGUGAUUAUGCAUGACCCAAGCUUGCUCUUUAUCCUCUUGGUGGAAGAAGUUUUCAUCUCUUCGUUGAUCUCAAAGCAAGCAAUUGUUUUCGUUAGUGGCAGAAUGUCACCUCAUAAUUUUGAGAAGUUUUCCAUAAGCCCACUACAAGCUUAUUCGUCUCGUUGUUGGUUUUCCAACAACUCUAUUAUAACCUUCUUGGAAGGGUGCUUUCCAAGCUCAUUUGUGGCAGAGGUUGGCAUUUUCUUCUUCAUUCUGUUAUUCCAAUAAUCUAUCUUCUAUUCUUUCUUCCGAAGGCAUUGUGAUGUUCCUCUUUUCACUCAUCAUCUUGAAUUGUGAGGUUCGUGUUCUUUUCUUGCUUAUCCAUUUAACCGGAGUGUUGUGUUCUCAUUCAAGUUCUUUAAUCUUGUCAAGUUUUGCCUCUCUUUCCAACCUGAGUGCUGUCUGAAAUCCUUCUCACCCAUUAUGCCAUUCUUUCAAUAGUUCCGGAGGCAGUGUGUUGUUGAUUUCAUCAAGUAUCUUCCCAUCUUCUCAAGUUCAUGUUCUUUUCCUUCCAUGUUCAACCGGAGUGCUGCCGAAUUCUUCCUCUCUCAUCUUGUUUUAACCGGAGUGGUUUCGAAUUCUAUCUUGUCCAUUAAACUCUUGAUUCGUGUCUUUGCAACCGUCGUCUUUGCAACCGUCAAGUUAUCGUAGUGUUCAUUGUUCCUCUUUUCUAACGGAUUGCUGCAAUCUCAUUCAUCUCUGUUGUACUCUUUCUUAUAAACUUUUCAACCUCUCAAGGUUCUUUGGUUUCACUCAUUGGUCGAAGAAGCAACUUGUUUUACCUCUUCUCUUCUUCUUUCUUUUCCCUCUGGUGCCAUCCUAGAUCUCGGGACGAGAUCCCCUCAUAGUGGUGGAGUGUUGUAACGCCCCAGAUGCAACUUUCCAUAUUCGUAACUCCAACUCUUGCCUUUUCUGGAGAUGCGAUAUGAUAUUUCCUUCGUGGUUGGCUUUUUGUCUUUUGUUUUGCUUUUUGUUCAUGUCAUGCAUUUCAUCUCAUGUCAUCAUUCACAUUGCAUCGACAUUGUUUUCUUAAAACGUGCAUCCGUUGUUAGUUGCCGCUUCUUCCUCGUCUCUGCUGACCUUUCUCAGACCGACCAUUCUGUUUUUGCCUGACCGUUUGUCCACCCUCUCUACACUUUGCUCUGACCCCCUCGCGCGCGUCCGAGACUUCCCCGAACCCGACCUGCUCAAUCAUCACCGUUGGAUCCGGAUCAUCCCCUAACGUCUAUAAAACAUCUCCGCUUUCUAUUUUGACUCCCUAACCCAUAUAUCUCGGGCCGUCCGAUUACGAUCAGAGGGACCAGAUAGCCCUAUGCUAAACCACCUGCUAUAUAUAUAUGCAGAUGAAACCCUAGCCCUGUCCCAUCCAUCCAGCAAAUCCUCCCCGCCGCCGCUCCUCUCUUCCUUGGGAUCGCUCCCGAUCCAAAAUCCACCAACAAGAGCUAGCGCCCAAUCCAGAUCCUCUCUCGCCCUCCAACCAUGUCCCUUGUUCUCCGUGCCGCUCCAUUCCUAGCCUCCCAUGCGCAGCCGCAUGCCCGACCUCGAGCUCUCCCGUAGCCAGUCGGCUCUUGAUCCAGGUUGGAUCGAGGCCACGGCCUUGCUCUCUUUGUCUCCUCCACCCAAGCCACCGCACGGGAGAUGCCCGAGAGCUCCUCCUCCUUGCGACCCGCGCCGCCCCGGCGAGCGUGCUAGCCGGCGACCUCGAUCCCAAGACCGGCCUCGCCUCCCUUCUCCUCCGUCCCCUCCUUCCCUUCGCUUUCUCUCUCUCUCCCUCUCAUCUCCCUGCUGCCUCUCUCUCGCAGGGACUAGCAGGAGCGCCAUGGCUGCCCGAUGCUCAAGCCACCACCGGGAACCGCCCCUCCGCCGUUGUCCCACUGCACUCGGAUCCGCCGCCGCGCCCUGCCAGCCUGCUUCCUCCUCUGCCGCCACGCCUGACCCCUGCUUCGACCUGUUGUUGCGCCCCUUCUUCCUCUGCUUCGAGGACGAGCCAGGCGCCCGCGUUGACUUCUCGUCGUGAGACUCCAGCUGGCCCCGUCCGCAUCGCCAAGGCCCAGCAGCUGCAUCCAGAUCUGUGCCAGGCCCAGCGCGCCUCAGCUCCCUCCUCCACCGACUGGGCCUCGGCCCAUGGUGAUCCUCCAGCCUAUCUCUCGCCCCAGCGCACCACAUGUUAGCUUGCGCCCACCAGAUUCGGCCCGACAUGUUUUUUUUCCAGACCCGCGAAUUUUGCUAAUUAUUCCAGGUUUUACAGAUUUGCAGAAAACCCCUCUUACAUCAUACAUUUAAUAACUAAACAUGCAUGCAUCCAAACUAAACAAACUAUAUAUGUAAAAUGCUUAGAAUUUCAUCUAGUUUAAUAUUUUGCCACUCUCACCCAUGUGUAAAAAAUGUUAAAAAUGUUGUUUGUUUAAAUUUGUAAAAAUGCCAUGUUAAAAUGAUUUAUUUCAUAACUAAAUAACCGUAGCUCCAUUUUAAAUAAACUUUAUAUGUAAAUGGGUUGGAAAAAUGCAUAGAUUAACUUGCUGCACUUUAUUUUGCUGUUUAACAACAUUAAAAUUGUGUUUAGGGCAGAACAGUACCAAAUUCAUAAUUUGCAUAUAGGGAUUUUCCGGAAUUAUUGUUUGUUGUUCCGGCCUCAUUUAAACUUGCCUAGAUAGGUAAUUUUCAUUUGCUUCACCCCUUGCCAUGUUUAACAACAUUUAAUAUUAUUGGGUAGCAUAAACAAGAUCGAACUAAAUAAAUGUUGUGAAGUUUCGCCAAUAUGCAACUCGUUCCAUAUGGAGCUCCACUUAACUUGUAGUAUUGCUUGUUGCAUUUUGCCAUGCCAUGCCAUGCUAUUUAAACCGGACAUGCAUCAUACUUGAAUUGUGCAUCAUGCCAUGUUUAUGCUUGUGCAUUUACCAUGUUGUUUGUUUCUUUCCGGUGUUGCUUCUUAGUUCCGGUAAUGUUGCGAUUGUGAGGAUUCGUUCGAUUACGUCCGUUCGUCUUCUUCAUGGACUGGGUCUUCUUCCUAGCGGGAUUUCAGGCAAGAUGACCGCUACCCUGGAUCUCACUACUAUCAUUUCUAUGCUAGUUGUUUCGUUCUAUCGCUAUGCUGCACUACCUAUCACCUGUUCUUCAAGCCUCCCUAAUUGCCAUGAACCUCUAACCUUUGACACCUUUCCUAUGCAAACCGUUGUUUGGCUAUGUUACCCCUUUUGCUCAGCCCCUCUUAUAGCGUUGCUAGUUGCAGGUGAAGUUGAAGAUUUCUCCAUGGUGGACAGGAUUUUGGUUGGGAUAUCACAAUAUCUCUUAUAUUAUUAUUAAUGCAUCUAUAUACUUGGUAAAGGGUGGAAGGCUCGGCCUUAUGCCUGGUGUUUUGUUCCACUCUUGCCGCCCUAGUUUCCGUCAUACCGGUGUUAUGUUCCCGGAUUUUGCAUCCCUUACGCGGUUGGGUGAUUUAUGGGACCCCCUUGACAGUUCGCUUUGAAUAAAACUCCUCCAGCAAGGCCCAAAAUUGGUUUUACCAUUUUCCUCACCACCACCUACUUUUUCCUUAGGAGUCGCUCUCUCGAGGGUCAUCUUUAUUAUAGCCCCCCCCGGGCCAGUGCUUGUCUAAGUGUUGGUCUGAACUAGAGCCCUUUGCAGUGCCCCCUCAGGGAAACUUGAGGUCUGGUUUUAGUUGUACGGAUUGCUCAUCCGGUGUUGCCCUGAGAAUGAGAUAUGUGCAGCUCCUAUCGGGAUUGUCGGCGCAUCGGGCGGUCUUGCUGGUCUUGUUUUACCAUUGUCAAAAUGUGUUGUAAACCGAGAUUCCGAGUCUGAUCGGGUCUUCCUGGGAGAAGGUAUAUCCUUCAUUGAUCGCGAGAGCUUAUCAUGGGCUAAGUUGGGACACCCCUGCAGGGUAUAAACUUUCGAAAGCCGUGCCUGCGGUUAUAGGCAGAUGGGAAUUUGUUAAUGUCCGGUUGUAGAUAACUUGACACCAGAUUCGAAUUAAAACGCAUCAACCGCGUGUGUAGCCGUGAUGGUCUCUUCUCGGCGGAGUCCGGGAAGUGAACACGGUUUUUGGGUUAUGUUUGACGUAAGUAGGAGUUCAGGAUCACUUCUUGAUCAUUGCUAGCUUCACGACCGUUUCGCUUGUUUCUCUUCUCGCUCUUAUUUGCGUAUGUUAGCCACCAUAUAUGCUUAGUCGCUGCUGCAGCCUCACCACUUUACCCAUUCCUUUCCCUUUAAGCUUUGCUAGUCUUGAUACCCAUGGUAAUGGGAUUGCUGAGUCCUCGUGGCUCUCAGAUUACUACAACAAUAGUUGCAGGUACAGGUUAUGCGAUGAUCAUGACGCGAGAGCAAUGUUACUUGUUUUGGAGUUCUUCUUCAUCUUCUUCUUCGAUCAGGGGAUAGGUUCCAGGUCGGCAGCCUGGGCUAGCAGGGUGGAUGUCGUUUGAGUUUCUGCUUGUGUUUCAUUCGUAGUCGGAUGAUGCUUUUAUGUAUUGUGAUGAUGUAUUCGUGUGGCAUUGUAUGCCUUAUGUAUGUAUCCCCAUCUAUUAUGUAAUGUUGAUGUAAUGAUAUCCACCUUACAAAAGCGUUUCAAUAUGCGGGUCUAUCCUUGGUGGGACCUUCGAGUUCCUUUUGGAUCGGGUCGCAUAUUGGGCGUGAUAGAGCGUCCACAUCCUCAACACCAUGAAGUCAUCGUCGACAAAACCCAAGGUUGGUUCAUCCCUCUUAGGGUGUAUAUCACAUCUAGGGGGAGGUUUACUCUAAGACUUGAGCUAAAGCAACUCUAACAGUGUGAACACAACAAUGCUUUAUGUAAAAGUGGUAACCCGACUUGUGCUUAAACAAUGAGUAUGACCGAUGAUCAAAUGUUCUCAUUGGACUCCUAAGUCAAUAUACUCAUAUAUAGAUGACCUAGUCAUCGCAAAUUGCUUGAUAGAUGCCAGAGUGUUUGUGCAUGCUUUGCCACAUAUUUCAUUUGCCAUUUUAUUGUGUUAGCAUGUUGGUUGCAUAUUUUACUCAUUCGAAGACAUCCACUUGUUUCUUUGAUUGUUUGGAUCUUUCUCUUUUGCCAAGUGGAUGGACAAGAAUGCCUAAGAACCUUCACUAGCUAUCUAUGCUUUUCUUGUCUCAAACUCUAUUCAUGCUACAUCACAAAGUUUGUUCAAGUAAGAUUCAAACCACUCUGUGUGAGGAGCACUCGGAGUCCCCAUAUCGUCAUAGACUUAAACUUCCAAAACCUCUUUGUGCAUGUCGGUAUGACCGAGUCAUCCAUUUCGGUCACGCCGAGUUCACUAAGUUGAUCUAGGUUUUCAUCUCGGUGCUACCGAUUUGAACAUUUGUCACACCGACUUGCAGUAACCGCUUGCCAUUCUGUAUCUCGGUGCCACCGAGUUGUUCCACUCGGUCACACCAACAGGGUCGGGAUAUAUAUACCCACGGGUGAGAUUUUGGAAAUUUCUUAAAAAACCCUCAACCCGCGCGUAUCCUGCUCUGCCUCCUCGGGUCUCCGGAUCGCCUCUUCGCCGCCAGCGACCUCCGCCGCUGGUUUCUAUUGCUAUCAACGGGAAUCUGCUCCGCCGUUGCCGCCGUAGCGAACUCCCGCUGAACUAGGGUAUGAGUUUGACCCCUCGUGCUUUCCUUUUACCUCCGAUUCUUAGCACACGGUCAAUGCCAUGAUUCUUGCCACGUAUGAAAUCAAUCUAUCCAGAGAAAACUUCCUUUAGGUUGAGUUUGAUUCGAAAAUUUAGGGUUAGGUCAACGCUGAACUCAUCUUGGACCGACCGAAUCAUAGAAAUCGGUCUCACUGAUUUGGCUUAGGCCAUUGCACAUGCGCUUUUCGGUCUGACCAAAAACUGCAAAUCGGUGUGACCGAGUUCAAUUCUUUGUGAAACCCUAGCAAUCUCGGUGCCACCAAAUUGUGACUCGGUCUGACCAAGUUCACUAGUUUAGGUUCCAAAUGUUGCUUCGGUAUCACUAAGUUUAUCAAUUUGGUAGCUCCGAAAUCAUUUCAGUAGAGAACUAAAACUAAGUUUUUGACUCAUUUGUUUUGAGAAAAUCUCUGCACUUUGUGAUGCUCAUCCACUCUACCUCAUCUAUAUCUAUUCACAGGGUUUGCUGUCGGUUUACCUGCCAAGAUGUCUGACCAUAGUGAUAGCCAGAAUAAAUCUAAAGAGAAAGAGCAAAUGAGUGAGGGCACUAGUCCAUCAAGCAUCUAUGAUGAGGGACGCAGGAUCACACCAAGUAACUUGCCCAAGGCAGCCACCAGGACAAGAAAGAAGAGAACCUCAGACUCUGAGGAUGAGGACUAUGUGGCUGUUGAGGAUGAGGCCACCACAAAGAAGAAAGUGUUGAAGAAAGAGUAUGGCACUGCUGCUACAACAAAGCCUUGUAUGAACGAGAAGGAACCAGCAAGGAGAGUCCCAACAUCCAAGCCAAGGAAAGUUCCAAUAGGAGAAACCAUGAAAUUCACAAUAGAAUCAGAUGAUGGUGAGGUAGUUGGAGAUGGCAAGAAGAAGAAGAGAGCAAGAACCACAACUGCAAAAGUUCUUGGAAAAUCAACUAUGGUAAGAGAUUCAGAAGAUGAAGAGGACGAGGAUGCUGCACCAGCACCCAAGUCAUAAAAGCUUAUGGGAGAUGCAAUCAAGUUAGGGGCUGCUGCUUCUAAGCCCAAACCUGCUCCUGAUACGUCUCCGUCGUAUCUAUAAUUUUUGAUUGUUCCAUGCCAAUAUAUUUCCACUUUCAUAUACUUUUGGCAACUUUUUAUACUAUUUUUGGGACUACCAUAUUGAUCCAGUGCCCAGUGCCAGUUCCUGUUUGUUGCAAGUUUUAUGUUUCGCAGAAACCCCAUAUCAAACGGAGUCCAAACGGGAUAAACUGGACGGAGAAUAUUUUUGGAUUAUUUAUGAUUUUUCGGAGGAAAAAAUCAACGCGAGACGGUGCCCGAGGGGGCCACGAGGUAGGGGGCGCGCCACUAACCCUCGUGGGCACCCCGCAAGGUGGUUACUGCUCUUCUUUGGCCGCAAGAAAGCUAAUUUUUGGAAAAAAAUCUUGGUGAAGGUUUCAAUCCAAUCAGAGUUAUGGAUCUCCGGAUAUAUAAGAAACGGUGAAAGGGCAGAAUCGAAGAACGCAGAAACAGAGAGAGACAAAGAGACAGAUCCAAACUCGGAGGGGCUCUCGCCCCUCCCAUGCCAUGGAGACCAUGGACCAGAGGGGAAACCCUUCUCCCAUCUAGGGAGAAGGUCAAGGAAGAAGAAGAAGAAGGGGGGCUCUCCCCCCUCGCUUCCGAUGGCGCCGGAACACCGCCGGGGGCCAUCAUCAUCACCGCAAUCUACACCAACACCGCCGUCAUGUUCACCAACAUCUCCAUCACCUUCCCCCAUCUAUAUUCAGCGGUCCACUCUCCCGCAACCCGCUGUACUCUCUACUUGAACAUGGUGCUUUAUGCUUCAUAUUAUUAUCCAAUGAUGUGUUGCCAUCCUAUGAUGUCUAUGUAGAUUUUCGUUGUCCUAUUAUUAAUUGGUGAAUUGCUAUGAUUGGUUUAAUUUGCUUGUGGUUAUGUUGCUGUCCUAUGGUGCCCUCCGUGUUGCGCAAGCGUGAGGGAUUCACGCUGUAGGGUGUUGCAAUACAUUCAUGAUUCACUUAUAGUGGGUUGCUUGAGUGACAGAAGCAUAAACCCGAGUAAGGGGGUUGUGGCGUAUUGGAUAAAGGGGAAUUGAUGUUUUAAUGCUAUGGUUGGGUUUUACCUUAAUGAUCUUUAGUAGUUGCGGAUGCUUGCUAGAGUUCCAAUCAUAAGUGCAUAUGAUCCAAGAAGAGAAAGUAUGUUAGCUUAUGCCUCUCCCACAUAAAACUUGCUAUCGGUCUAGUAAAGUAGUCAAUUGCUUAGGGACAAUUUCACAACUCCUACCACCACUUUUCCACACUCGCUAUAUUUACUUUAUUUCUUAUUUAUCUAAACAGCCCCUAGUUUAUAUUUAUGUGCUCUUUAUAUUCUUGCAAACCUAUCUAACAACACCUAUAAAGUCCUUCUAGUUUCAUACUUGUUCUAGGUAAAGCGAAUGCUAAGCAUGCGUAGAGUUGUAUCAGUGGUUGAUAGAACUUGAGGGAAUAUUUGUUCUACCUUUAGAUCCUCGUUGGGUUCGACACUCUUACUUAUCGAAAGAGGCUACAAUUGAUCCCCUAUACUUGUGGGUUAUCAAGACCUUUUUCUGACGCCGUUGCCGCGGAGUCAUGCCGUGGGGUGAAUAUUCUCGUGUGUGCUUGUUUGCUUUAUGACUAAGUAAUUUUUAUUUGCCAUUCUAAGUUAUUCUCUAUCUUUAGAUAUGGAUAUGGAACACGAAAUACCAAAAAAUUAGGUGUACUUGCUACUCAUGGAGAUGGGGAACCUCCUAAAACCCUCGAUGCUCAUUAUGUGAAAGAUAUUAUGUACUACUUUGAUAAUCCUGAGAAAACCCCAUUCAAUUAUGUUAUGGGUGACACGUUGGGUCAAUGUGAAUACUUUACGGAUUAUCGCUUGACACAAAAAGGGAAACUAUUAUGGGAUCAAAUUUAUAUGUUGCAUUGGUAUACUCGGCAACUAUGCUUGAGAUAUGAAUAUACUUGUUGCUCUAGGAUGAAGGCUCCACACCUUCCCUUUUAUGCAAAUUUAAUGAUAAUGAAACCUUAGCUUCUUAUGCUAAUGGUAUAUAUGUGGAACAAAUAGAAGAAUUCGUUGCUUUUAUGGGUGCUUAUGAGAUUGGAUCUUUGUUUAAAGAGUGUGAAAAAUCUUGAUGAUGCUGUUUAUAGACAUGAAAAUUUUGCUAUACUUAAAUAUUGUUUUGAGAAUUAUGAAUACAAUGCCGAUAUUGAUGCGUUUAUUGAGAAAGUCUCUACUGUCCAAGAAGAGAUUAAUAUUUUGUAGGAGUCUAUGGAAGAAGGAAUUGAUGAAACUGUGAGCUCAUUGGAUGAAAAAGAUAAUGAGGAGAGCGAAGAACAAAACGAGGAAGAGCGGAUUAGCUGCCUGUGCCCACCUUCUAAUGAUAGUAACUCUUCAACUCAUACAUUGUUUAAUUCCCCUUCGUGCUUACCGAAGGAUGAUUGCUAUGAUGAUUGUUAUGAUCCCGUUGAUUCUCUUGAAAUAUAUCUUUUUGAUGAUGCUUGCUAUGCUUGUGGCCAUGAUGCCAAUAUGAAUAAUGCUUAUGGAGAUGAACUUGCUAUAGCUCCUUAUAUUAAACAUGAAAUUGUUGCUAUUGCACCCACACAUGAUAGUCCUAUUAUCUUUUUGAAUUGUCCCGACUACACUAUAUUGGAGAAGUUUGCCCUUAUUUAGGAUUAUAUUGAUGGGAUGCUCCUACUUGCAAUUAUUUUGAGAGAGGAACUUUAUCUCCACCUCUCUAUGUUUCCAACACGAUAGAAUUGCAAAAAACUGUUUAUACUAUGCAUUGGCCUUUACUAUGUGUGCAUGAAUUUUUAUUUUCUGACAUGCCAAUGCAUAGGAAGAGAGUUAGACUUUGUUGUUUCUUUAUAUAUGUUACUUUGUGCUCACUACUAAAUCACAAAUCAUUGUUAAUUGAAAUUGGCUUUGAUAUACCUUGGGAUCCGGGUGGAUCCAUUACUUGAGCACUUUAUGCCUAGCUUAAUGGCUUUAAAGAAAGCGCUACCAGGGAGACAACCCGGAAGUUUUAGAGAGUCAUUUAUUUCUGUUGUGUGCUUUCAUAAAGUUUAAAAACCAAAAAAUAAAGAGGGGAACCAAAAACUUUUCAAAAAGGAAAGUGAAAGUGAGAAAGACAAACAUUGUUGAAGUGGGAGCUAGCCUUGAACUUUGUUCAUGCUCACCAAAACUUUGUGAAUCUUGAUUACAAAAACUUUUCAACAAAAAUAAUUAUACCCUUGUAUAAUCCCAUUGUUUUAUAAAAAUAAUGUGCCAAGGUUUGCCUUUAGGAUGUUUACUAUGCUUGUUGGUUUUUGCGGUGCAGGACAGAAACUUUGGCUGUAGUGCGCGAUUUUACAUUUUUUACUGGAACGUCAAACGGUUCUGAAACCUUCUGCACUGUCUUCUUUUACAAAUUGUUUAUUUUUCCUAAUUUUGGAAGAAUUUUUGGGGUAACAUAAGUACUGUGAAUGUUCAUAUUUCUAUAGACUGCUUUUUUUACAUAGAUUCUGUUUUUGAUGCAUAGUUUACUUGUUUUGAUGAAACUAUCAAUUUCUAUCAGUGGAUUAAGCCAUAGAAAAGUUAUAUUACAGUAGCUAUAAUGCAAAAACAAAAUAUGAAUUGGUUUUCAAUAGUACUUAGAGUAGUGAUUUGCUUUAUUAUACUAACGGAUCUUACCGAGUUUUUGUUGAAGUUUUGUGUGGAUGAAGUGUUCGAAGAUCGAGGAGGUCUCGAUAUGAGGAAAAGGAGGAGAGGCAAGAUCUCAAUCUUGGGGAUGCCCAAGGCACCCCAAGUAAAUAUUCAAGGAGACUAAAGCGUCUAAGCUUGGGGAUGCCCCGGAAGGCAUCCCCUCUUUCUUCAACAAGUAUCGGUAUGUUUUUGGAUCCGUUUUGUUCAUGGGAUAUGUGCAAAUCUUGGAGCGUCUUUUGCAUUUAGUUUUCACUUUUGUUUUAUGCACCAUGCUGGUAUGAUAUAUUCCAUGGUUGAUUUAUAGAAUGCUCAUUGCAGUUCACUUAAAUCUUUUGAGUAUGGCUUUAUAGAAUGCUUCAUGUGCUUCACUUAUAUCAUUUGAAGUUUGGAUUGCCUGUUUCUCUUCACAUAGAAAACCGCCAUUUGUAGAAUGCUCUUUUGCUUCACUUAUAUUUGUUAGAGCGUGGGCAUAUCUUUUGUAGAAAGAAUUAAACUCUCUUGCUUCACUUAUAUCUAUUUAGAGAGAUGACAAGAAUUGGUCAUUCACAUGGUUAGUCAUAAAAUUCUACAUAAAAACUUGUAGAUCACUGAAUAUGAUAUGUUUGAUUCCUUGCAAUAGUUUUGCGAUAUAGAGAUGAUAAUAUGUGGGAGGUUCUAGUAGAUGGUUGUGUUUAGUAAGGAUAUUAGUGUUAAGGUUUGUGAUUCCUGAAACAUGCACGUAUGGUCUCCUAACUAUGUAACCAAAUUGGCGUGCAUUGUAUUUUGAUUGUUUAUCUUUGUGUGAAGGUCGGGGGCGCGCGAUGGUUAACUCCUACCAACCUCCCCCUAGGAGCAUGCAUAGUAGUACUUUGCUUCGAGGGCUAAUAAACUUUUGCAAUAAGUAUAUGAGUUCUUUAUGACUAAUGUGAGUCCAUGGAUUAUACGCACUCUCACCCUUCCAUUAUUGCUAGCCUCUUUGGUACCGUGCAUUGCCCUUUCUUACCUUGAGAGUUGGUGCAAACUUUGCCGGUGCAUCCAAACCCCGUGAUACGAUACCCUCUAUCACACAUAAGCCUCCUUAUAUCUUCCUCAAAACAGCCACCAUACCUACCUAUCAUGGCAUUUCCAUAGCCAUUACGAGAUAUAUUGCCAUGCAACUUCCAUCAUCAUCAUAUACAUGACUUGAGCAUUCAUUGUCAUAUUGCCUUGCAUGAUCGUAAGAUAGCUAGCAUGAUGUUUUCAUGGAUUGUCCAUUUUUUGAUGUCAUUGCUACGCUAGAUCAUUGCACAUCCUGGUACACCACCGGAGGCAUUCAUAUAGAGUCAUAUUUUUGUUCUAGUAUCGAGUUGUAAUAUUGAGUUGUAAGUAAAUAAAAGUGUGAUAAUCAUCAUUAUUAGAGCAUUGCCAAGUGAGGAAAGGAUGUUGGAGACUAUGAUUCCCCCACAAGUCGGGAUGAGACUCCGGACUUAUGAAAAAUAAAAGAGGCCAAAGAAGCCCAAAUAAAAAAAAGAGGCCAAAGAAGCCCACCAUAAAAAUAAAUAAAAUAAAAUAAAAUAAAAUAAAAAAUAAAAAAAUGAGAGAAAAAGAGAGAAGGGGCAAUGCUACUAUCCUUUUACCACACUUGUGCUUCAAAGUAGCACCAUGUCCUUCAUAUAGAGAGUCUCCUGAGUUAUCACUUUCAUAUACUAGUGGGAAUUUUCAUUAUAGAACCUGGCUUGUAUAUUCCGAUGAUGGGGUCCCACAAAUUCCCAAGGUCUUUAUGAGCAAGCAAGUUGGAUGCUGUAACGCCCCGGAACUGAUGCGCCAGGUGUCUUCCAACUUCUCAUCGUUGUUGCCAUUUCAUUUGCUUGCGUGUUGCAUUUUGCCAUGUCAUCAUCUGCAUUUCAUCUGCAUGUUUUUCAAAACAUGCAGCCGUUCGGGUUCCCCCGGUUCUCUUCGUUGUCCAUUCUGAGCCCAACCACACUCGCACGCGCCCGUCGCACCUCUCAGACCUUGUUUCGUGAGCGGGGGGAAAAGGUUCUCGGAUUGGGAUGAAACUUGGCGUGCGGUGUUGUUUUAGAGUAGGUAGACCGCCUGUCAAUUUUCGUCGCAUUCGGAGUCCAUUUGACGCCCCAACGGUUAACCGUGUAGCCCGAAACCCCUCUCUAUUUGCAGCCAAGCCCUUCUUCACCACAACCCAUGAGCCCAUCCAAACCCCCUCCAUGCUGCCGGUCAUUGGAUCACGAUCGUGUGGGCAAAAACCGCUCCCCAUUUGGAGUCUCCUAGCUCCCUCUACCUAUAAAUAUGUCCUCCCCGUCCAAAAAUUCGGGCCCAAACCCUAGAUCAAGUCGCCCUCCGCCACCACCGGACACGUCCGCCGCCACCGGACACGUCCGUCGCCACCGGACGAAAUCGCCGCUGCCCGCAGCCAAUGGCCUCGUGCCACCUGUCCCGCACGCCGCCCCCGCGCGUUCCCACCGCCGUCGGCCCGCUUGGCCCGCGCCGGNNNNNNNNNNNNNNNNNNNNNNNNNNNNNNNNNNNNNNNNNNNNNNNNNNNNNNNNNNNNNNNNNNNNNNNNNNNNNNNNNNNNNNNNNNNNNNNNNNNNNNNNNNNNNNNNNNNNNNNNNNNNNNNNNNNNNNNNNNNNNNNNNNNNNNNNNNNNNNNNNNNNNNNNNNNNNNNNNNNNNNNNNNNNNNNNNNNNNNNNNNNNNNNNNNNNNNNNNNNNNNNNNNNNNNNNNNNNNNNNNNNNNNNNNNNNNNNNNNNNNNNNNNNNNNNNNNNNNNNNNNNNNNNNNNNNNNNNNNNNNNNNNNNNNNNNNNNNNNNNNNNNNNNNNNNNNNNNNNNNNNNNNNNNNNNNNNNNNNNNNNNNCCGAGCUCGCCGCCAUCCGCCAGAUCCGGGGGCCCCACGCCCGGAUCCGCCCCGUCCCGCUCCCGCCGGGAUCCGCCGCCCCGCCUCGCCGGUGGCGCGCUAAGGUCGCCGCCUCGCCCUGCCUCCCCGAUCCGGGAGGGAUCGGUGGAGACGACGCCCCGGCCGUCCUCCUGCGCCCCGUGUGGGCUCGGCCCACCGCGCCGCAUGGGCCCCGUAUGGCCCGUCCUCCCCAGCACCAGCCUACCUCCUUCACCGUCCUGGGCCGAAGCCCAUGGUGAGCAGUCCCUAAAACCUGCUCAGUGCGCAUUAUAGCUAUCGGUCGCUCUCUGAAAAUCUGCAAUCUUUUCUGUAAUCAGCAUGCAUGCAUCUUGUGUGGUUGAUAACUUUGUGCAUGUGUGCCCAAAUUGAGCGUAUGAUAUAUCAAAAUGUUCAUUGUGAGAUGCUCUUCAUUUUGUUCCAUUGUGACAUGCUUGUUUGAAUCCAUCUUGAUGCCCUAAUUAUCGUGGCCGGAGUGCUAAAUGAUGUUAACCUGCUGAAACUGUUAUAACUUGCUGUUUUGUCAUUUUCAUUGCAUUUUAUGUGUGCAUCCUAUGAGCUUGAUGUCUACAUGAGUUUUGAGCUACAUCAUGCCAUCUUUACAUUGGAAUAAUCCAUGUAUUUUUGUGAGUCUUGUACUGAGUGCAUCAAGCUUGUUAAGUAGGGUACUUGCUGUUACUGUUUUGCUGAGUCUGUUAUAUCAUGAUGCUAUGUAAACCUGCUGCUACAAGUCAUUCUAUGCAUAAUCUGGAGAUGUUCACUAAGGACGGUUUGUUAUACAUGUCAUCCUCUAUGCAUCCAUGCCCCUGGUUGCAGUUAUAGCCUGCUAUAGCUUGUUGUAAUCUUGCUCUCAAAUUGCUAAAUAAUGUUGCUGUUAGCCUGUUAACAUUAAGUUCAGUUUUUCCAUGUGCUUUGCUAGUGAUACAUGCACGCUAUGACUAUGCUAUUGCCAUGUUUAGCUCCAUAAAUGUGUAUUAUUACUAUUGGUCACCUUGUCAUGCCAUGUAUUGCUCUAUGGUGAGUGGUACAAGCUCACUAACAUGCCUACUUAUCGUUGUUCCUGCCAUGUACUGUUAUUCUGAAUCUGUCAUAUCACUUGCCAUGUUUGCAUGGAUGCUACCAUCUUUUCUGUUGAUCUUUGGAAUUAGUUCAGUAAGGGAGUUUUGUUCUUUGUCUUUAGUAUUAACAUGCCUUGCCUUUGCCAUGAUAAGUCCCUGUAGAAUGUUGUUUGAUAGCUCUAAACAUUGCAACCUGAUGUUAUUUCUGCCAUGUCCAGUGAUUUCUGCCGUCUGUGAAACUUUAUUAUUUGCAAUCUUGCCAUGUCCUUGUGAGCAUGUUCUAUUGAUUUCUGGAGAUAGCUCAGUGUUCAUGUUUUGUUAUGCUUCAUCUGUACAUCAUGUCCAUGUCUUUUGUUUUCAUGUUGAUGUGCUGUAGCAUAUUGUUUUGAUGCUUGCUAGAUGCCUAGUUGCUGUUUUGGACAGCUUGUCCUUUAAACUUGUAUAUAGUGUAUGUGUUGAACCGUUGCUCCGUUUUGAGUGUGCUCUAUAUGAAACUUGCUUAGAUUUGCAUGUAGUUUCAUCUUGUCAUGUGGAUUCCUUGUUUUGAGAGUGUUUCUUGAUGUUUGAAUGCCUUUUGCAUCAAUGCCAUGUUUAACUUGUUUUGCUCAUAUCUUCUAGGCCAUAGCUCCGACCUAAAUGAACUUUAUAUGUAACUUGACUAGAAUUUCAUGUAGAUCAUCUUGGUGCAUUUUAACUUGUGGUUUAACAACUUGAACAUAAGGUUUAUUCAGAUCUGGAACAAUUUCUAAAUUUACAUAUGGGGUCUUUCCGGUUUUGUCAUAUGUUGUUUCCGGCCUCAUUUAAACUUGCUUUGAUGUGUUGUUCUUGUAUGCAUCAUAUAUUGCCAUGAGUAGCUUCAUUUAGCCUUAACAUCAUGCCAUGUCUAUGUGUUGUGUGUUUACCUUGUUGUUUGCUUCUUUCUGGUUGUGCUCCUUCUCGUUAGUUCCUGUUUUGUUGCGAUCGUGAGGAUUCGUUCGUCUACGCUUGGUUCGUCUUCGUGGCUUCAUCUUCUUCAUGGACUCAUUCUUCUUCCUUGUGGGAUUUCAGGCAGGAUGACCGUUACUCUGGAUCUCACUAUUAUCAUUGCUAUGCUAGUUGCUUCGUUCUAUCGCUAUGCUGCGCUACCUAUCAUUUGCUCUUCAAGCCACCCAAAUUGCCUUGUCAGCCUCUAACCUUUUUCACCCUUCCUAGCAAACCGUUGCUUGGCUACGUUAUCGCUUUGCUCAGCCCCUCUUAUACCAUUGUUAGUUGUAGGUGAAGUUGAAGAUUGCUCCAUGAUGGACAGGGUUAUGUUGGGAUAUCACAAUAUCUCUUAUUUAAUUAAUGCAUCUAUAUACUUGGUAAAGGGUGGAAGGCUCGACCUUAUGCCUGGUGUUUUGUUCCACUCUUGCCGUCGUAGUUUCCGUCAUACCGGUGUUAUGUUCCUUGAUUUUGUGUUCCUUACGCGGUUGGGUUAUUUAUGGGACCCCCUUGACAGUUCGCUUUGAAUAAAACUCCUCCAGCAAGGCCCAACCUUGGUUUUACCAUUUGCCUACCUAAGCCUUUUGCCCUUGGGUUUCCGGAGCCCGAGGGUCAUCUUUAUUUAACCCCCCCCGGGCCAGUCCUCCUUCGAGUGUUGGUCCGAACCGAGCAGCCUGCGGGGCCACCUCGGGGAAACUUGAGGGCUGGUUUUACUCGUAGCUUGACUUAUCCAGUGUGCCCUAGGAACGAGGUACAUGCGACUCCUAUCGGGAUUUGUCAGCACAUCGGGCGGCUUUGCUGGUCUUGUUUUACCAUUAUCGAAAUGUCUUAUAAACUGGGAUUCCGAGACUGAUCGGGUCUUCCUGGGAGAAAGAAUAUCCUUCGUUGACCGUGAGAGCUUGUGAUGGGCUAAGUUGGGACACCCCUGCAGGGUAUAAACUUUCAAGAGCCGUGCCCGCGGUUAUGUGCCAGAUGGGAAUUUGUUAAUAUCCGAUUGUAGAGAACUUGACACUUGACUCAAUUAAAAUGCAUCAACCGUGUGUGUAGCCGUGAUGGUCUGUUUUCGGAGGAGUCGAGGAAGUGAACACGGUCUUUGGGUUAUGUUUGAACGUAAGUAGUUCAGGAUCAGUUCUUGAUCAUUGCUAGCUUCACGACCGUUCCGUUGCUUCUCUUCUCGCUCUUAUUUGCGUAUGUUAGCCACCAUAUCAUGCUUAGUCGCUGCUGCAACCUCACCACUUUACCCCUUCCUUACCCUUUAAGCUUUGCUAGUCUUGAUACCCAUGGUAAUGGGAUUGCAGAGUCCUCGUGGCUCACAGAUUACUACAACAACAGUUGCAGGUACAGGUUAUGCGAUGAUCAUGACGCGAGAUUGAUGUUUGCUUACUUUGGAGUUCUUCUUUUGCUUCUUCUUCGAUUAGGGGAUAGGUUCCAGGACGACAGCCUGGGCUAGCAGGGUGGAUGUCGUUUGAGCUUCUGAUUGUGUUUCAUCCGUAGUCGGAUGUUGAUCUUAUGGAUGAUGUAUUGAUGUAUUCUUGUGGCAUUGCUUGCCUCUUGUAUGUAUCCCCAACUAUUAUGUAAUGGUACGAUGUAAUGAUAUCCACCUUGCAAAAGCAUCUUCAAGAUGCGCUUCUAUCCUUGGUGGGACCUUUGAGUUCCUUUAGGAUAGGGUCGCAUCUUGGGCAUGACAAGUUGGUAUCAGAGCCUCGACCGACCUUAGGAGGCCCUUGUUUGAUCGUGUAGUUUGGCCGUUGUCGAGUCUAGAAGAAAACUGUUUUCAGAGUCUAGUUAUAUUGGAGAGUAGGAAUUCUUUUUACUCCUCUGCCCCGUCGUCGCUCUCGUAAGGAAUCUUGGCAUAGGUGUUUUGAAUUACUUCUCUUCCCCUUCAAAUUUUCUUUAGGUUCACGUAGUUGGUUUUUCGAUCGUUAGUUCUCAGCUCUUUUCAUCCGGUGUAUUUCUCGUCAAGUUGACUGGAGCCUCUUCAUUUUUACCAAGUUCAAUCCUUAGUUGUCUUCUUUUCCCACCCGCCCACCCCUUUUAUUCUCGGAGCCGGAGUCCGUAAUCGAGUAUCCAUCCUACUUGUGCGAAGCCUUUGCAUUCUUUCCUCAACUGUUUCAACCAGUGUUUCCUCUUGAAGUUAUUCAUCGAUUUUUCCCCUUCCAAGUUGCCUUUUCUUUCCCGCCCUCCCACCCUUUUUCUUCCCGGAGCCUAAGACUCAUCGAGCAUCAAUUUCAUUCGUGUGGAGCCUCUUCAGUCUUUCGUCAAUUGUUUCAACCAGUGAAUUCUCAUUUUGUUCGAUAUUCUUCAUCUCUUUUCUUCUCAGGUGGACUCAAUUCAAGUUUUUUCAGGUUGAUCAUAUUCUUUUCCUUGGAUCAAGUGUUCUCCUUGCACGUUUGCCUCUCGCCAUUCAAUCAUUCCGGAGUUCGGAAGACAUCUCAGGAGAUUCAUCGGUGUUCCAAUUAAUUCAAGGUUGUCACCUCAUUCAAAUAUUUCAAUUGUUCCGGUGCAUCAUCUAUGUCUUCAACAAUCCUUUCCAAUGGUGUUUUCUUUUAGUGGGCCCUAACCCACAGGUCUUUUCCCAGGAUCUUACCCAACUCUUCUAAUUAUUUUGGAGCUAUUCCCAAAUUCUUUUCAAAGUGUGAAGUAAGAAUGGAUUCCAUCAGUCACAUGCCUUCUCCAAGAUCAUUUUCAAACUCUUUUCAUUGUUGGCUCAACCUCUUCGCUUUUCAUUCUCCCGGAGUAUCUCAGUAAUUUUGGUGGUGUUUACCGUCAUCAGGUGAAGAUAGAAGAAGAGUUUUCCCUCUAAAUCUUGCCCGUUCUCUUGAAGUUUCGUGGUUCUAACUUCAUGUUAUCCUCUAGAAUUAUUCCAUUUGUUAGAUAUUCCUUUGUUCUUACCCAUCCGGAGUAUGUCAGAAGUUCUUUUCCCGUUUCUUUUCACCGGAGGCCAUUGUUCCAGAAGAAUUCUUCGUCCUCACAUUUCAGCUACCGUUAUCCAAUUAUCCCGGUGCUUCGUUCAAGUGUUCUUUAAUCAGCUCAUGAUCUCUUUGUUCUUUUGCAUCUAAAUCCCCUCUAGCAUAUUGGUUCUUCUAAUUCUUCCCGGUGAUUCAGUCUCUUUCAUCAGUCAUUUUCAAAUUCUUACGGUGGUUCAUUCAGAUUCUUUUUCCUUUGUCAUCAUAUUAAUUCUUUUGUUCUUCCAAAUCCUACCGGUGGUCCGUUGAAUACCUUCCUCAAGGUUGCGCUAUAUAAUCACCAAUUCUUUUCAAGGAGAAUAAGUAGUAUGCAAAAUUCAUGUAUCAUCAAUUAAAUUUGAUGAGGGAUGAGCAUACAAUAAAUCUUAUUCUUAUUUCAUCCAAGUGAGUAAUCCCUUCCUUAGAGUUUGUUCUUGAGGAAUAAAUUCUAGUUCCAAGUGUUUUCAUCUUUUCUUUUCCGGAGUUCAAAUUUCCUCGGCCAUUUCGUUGGAACCUCCAUCUAAAUAACCGCAAAGCUUAAUAUUAUUCUUUCAUCCUUCAUUCUAUCUCAUCAUCCUUUUUGUCAAUGGAGUUCUUCAUGGUGGUUCUUCAUGAUUUAAUCCAUUCUACAAGAGUUCAUCAAGAUUUUGUUGGUGGAGUUCAAGUAUAUUUUCUUCUCGCAUCUCGAAGUGCAAUUAAUUCUCCAUAUUCUUUUCAAGUGGAGUUUAGCAUUUCUUCGUUAUUCCUAGAUAUUCAAGCAUUUGGUUGUGGCAUAAUUUCACCUCAAGUUUUGAGUUGUUUUGAUAUGUCCACAACAAGCUUAUUCUUUUGUUGUUGAUUUUCUCAACAACUCCAUUCAAACCUUCCUUCUAAGUUCUUUUCAUUCAAUUCUUCCAAUUCUUCCGGAGGCAUUGCGUUGUUCAUCUCGUCAAGUGCCAUCUCAUUGGGUGAAGUUCAUAUUCUAUUCCUUCCAUUUUCAGCCGGAGUGCUGCCUAAAUUCUUCCAUUCUUAUUACUUUUCUAUCUUGUUCUAACCGGAGUGGUUUCAGAAUCUAUCUUUUUCUUGAUCAUUUCAUUCUCUUCAUACUCCUCAUUCCUCUUUUCUCCCCGAGUUCUCUCUACUUUGUUAUUCUUAUUUCUUCUGGUCUUACUUUACCUCUUCCUCUUUUUCUUCCGUCUCGUUCCUAAGAUCUCGGGACGAGAUCUCUUGUCAGUGGAGGAGAGUUGUAACGCCCCGGAACUGAUGCGCCAGGUGUCUUCCAGCUACUCGUCGUUGUUGCCAUGUCAUUUGCUUGCGUGUUGCAUUUUUGCCAUGUCAUCAUCUACAUUUCAUCUGCAUGUUUUUCAGAACUUGCAUCCGUUCGGGUUCCCCCGGUUCUCUCUGUUGUCCGUUCUAAGCCCAACUACACUCGCACGCGCCCGUCGCACCUCUCAGACCUUGUUUUGUGAGCGGGCAAAAAUGUUCUCGGAUUGGGAUGAAACUUGGCAUGCAGUUUUAGUUUAGAGUAGCUAGACCGCCUGUCAAUUUUCGUCGCAUUCGGAGUCCGUUUGACGCCCCAACGGUUAAUCGCGUAGCCCGAAACCCCACUCUCUUUGCAGCCCAGACCCUCUUCACCACAGCCCAUGAGCCCAUCCAAACCCCCUCCAUGCUCUCGGUCGUUGGAUCACGAUCGUGUGCGCGAAAACCGCUCCCCAUUUGGAGUCUCCUAGCUCCCUCUACCUAUAAAUAUGUCCUCCCCAUCCAAAAAUUCGGGCCCAAACCCUAGAUCAAGUCGCCCUUCGCCGCCACCGGACACGUCCGCCGCCACUGGACAAAAUCGCCGCCACCCGCAGCCAAUGGCCUCGCGCCACCUGUCCCGCACGCCGCCCCCGCGCAUUACCACCACCGUCAGCCCACUUGGCCCGCGCCGGGCCCUCCCGGCCGAUCCGGCCGCGCCGCGGCCCCUCGGCCUCCCGCUCGCCUNNNNNNNNNNNNNNNNNNNNNNNNNNNNNNNNNNNNNNNNNNNNNNNNNNNNNNNNNNNNNNNNNNNNNNNNNNNNNNNNNNNNNNNNNNNNNNNNNNNNNNNNNNNNNNNNNNNNNNNNNNNNNNNNNNNNNNNNNNNNNNNNNNNNNNNNNNNNNNNNNNNNNNNNNNNNNNNNNNNNNNNNNNNNNNNNNNNNNNNNNNNNNNNNNNNNNNNNNNNNNNNNNNNNNNNNNNNNNNNNNNNNNNNNNNNNNNNNNNNNNNNNNNNNNNNNNNNNNNNNNNNNNNNNNNNNNNNNNNNNNNNNNNNNNNNNNNNNNNNNNNNNNNNNNNNNNNNNNNNNNNNNNNNNNNNNNNNNNNNNNNNNNNNNNNNNNNNNNNNNNNNNNNNNNNNNNNNNNNNNNNNNNNNNNNNNNNNNNNNNNNNNNNNNNNNNNNNNNNNNNNNNGACCCCGCGCCCCGCGCGCCCCUAUGUCGGUGCCCCGCCGCCGUUCGGCGCCGUCCCGCCGCCCCGGCCAUGGCGCCGCCGCCUUCGCGCCCGAGCUUGCCGCCAUCCGCCAGAUCCAGGGGCCCCACGCCCGGAUCCACCUCGUCCCGCUCCCGCCGGUGACCUCCCGCCGGUAUCCGCCACCUCGCCUCGCCGGUGGCGCGCUAGGGCCGCCGCCUCGCCCUGCCUCCCCGAUCCAGGAGGGAUCGGUGGAGACGACGCCCCGGCCGUCCUCCUGCGCCGCGCGUGGGCUCGGCCCACCCUGCCGCAUGGGCCCCGUCCGGCCCGUCCUCCCCAGCGCCAGCCUGCCUCCUUCACCCUCAUGGGGCGAAGCCCAUGGUGAGAAGUCCCGAAAACCCGCUCGGUGCAAAAUUUUAACUAUCGGUCGCUCUCUGAAAAUCCGCCGUCUUUUGUGUAAUCAGCAUGCAUCUUGUGUGGUUCGUAACUUUGUGCGUGUGUGCCCAAAUUGAGCGUAUGAUAUAUCAAAAUGUUCAUUGUGAAAUGCUCUUCAUUUUGUUCCAUUGUACCAUGCUUGUUUGAGUCCUUCUUGAUUCCCUAAUUAUCGUGUCCAGAGUGCUAAAUGAUGUUAACCUGCUGAAACUGUUAUAACUUGCUGUUUUGUCAUUUUCGUUGCAUUUUGUGUGAGCAUCCUAUGAGCUUGAUGUCUACAUGAGUUUUGAGAUACAUCAUGCCAUCUUUACAGUGGUGCCAUCCGUGUAUUAUUGUGAUUCUUGUACUGAGUGCAUCAAGCUUGUUAAAUAGGGUACUUGCUAUUACUGUUUCGCUAGACUGAGUCUGUUAUAUCAUGAUGCUAUGUAAACCUGCUGCUACAAGUCAUGCUAUGCAUAAUCUGGAGAUGUUCACUAGGGAUGUUUAUUUAUACAUGUCAUGCUUUAUCCAUCCAUACCCCUGUUUGCAGUUAUAGCCUGCUGUAGCUUGUUGUAAUCUUGCUCUCAAAUUGCUAAAUAAUGUUGCUGUCAGUCUAUUAACAUUAAGUUCAGUUUUGCCAUGUGCUUUGUUAGUGAUCCAUGCACCCUAUGACUAUGAUAUUGCCAUGUUUAGCUCCAUAAAUGUGUCUUCUUACUGUUGGUCACCUUGUCAUGCCAUGUAUUUCUCUGUGGUGAGUGGUACAAGAUCACCAACAUGCCUACUUAUCGUUGUUCCUGCCAUGUACUGUUAUUCUGAAUCUGUCAUAUCACUUGCCAUGUUUGCAUGGAUUCUACCAUCUUUUCUGUUGAUCUUUGGAAUUAGAUCAUUAAAGGAGUUUUGUUCUUUUCUUUAGUAUUAGCAUGAAAUGCCUCUGUUUUCCAUGAUAAGUCUGUGUAGCAUGUUGUUUGAUAGCUCUAAACAUUGCAACCUGAUGUUAUUUCUGCCAUGUCCAGUGAUUUCUGCCGUCUGUGAAACUGUUAUUAUUUGCAAUCUUGCCAUGUCCUUGUGAGCAUGUUCUAUUGAUUUAUGGACAUAGCUUAGUGUUCAUGUUUUGUUAUGAUUCAUCUGUACAUCAUGUCCAUGUCUUUUGUUUUCAUGUUGAUGUGUUGUAGCAUAUUGUUUUGAUGCUUGCUAGAUGCCUAGUUGCUGUUUUGGACAACUUGUCCUUCAAAUUUGUAUAUAGUGUAUGUGUUGAACCGUUGCUCCGUUUUGAGUGUGCUCUAUAUGAAACUUGCUUAGAUUUGAAUGUAGUUUCAUCUUGUCAUGUUGAAUCCUUGUUUUGAGAGUGUUUGCUUGAUGUUUGAAUGCCUUUUGCAUCAAUGCCAUGUUUAACUUGUUUUGCUCAUAUCUUCUAGGCCGUAGCUCCGAACUAAAUGAACUUUAUAUGUAACUUGACUAGAAUUUCAUGUAGAUCAUCUUGGUGCAUUUUACCUUGCUGUUUAACAACUUGAACAUAAGGUUUAUUCAGAUCUGGACCAAUUUCUAAAUUUACAUAUGGGGUCUUUCCAAUUUUGUCAUAUGUUGUUUCCGGCCUCAUUUAAACUUGCUUUGAUGUGUUGUUCUUGUAUGCAUCAUCUAUUGCCAUGAGUAGCUUCAUUUAGCCUUUGUCAUGCAUCAUACUUGGUUGAGCAUCAUGCCAUGUCUAUGUGUUGUGUGUUUACCUUGUUGUUUUCUUCUUUCUGGUUGUGCUCCUUCUCGUUAGUUCCUGUUUUGUUGCGAUCGUGAGGAUUCGUUCGUCUACGCUUGGUUCGUCUUCGUGGCUUCAUCUUCUUCAUGGACUCAUUCUUCUUGCUUGCGGGAUAUUAGGCAAGAUGACCGUUACUCCGGAUCUCACUAUUAUCAUUGCUAUGCUAGUUGCUUCGUUCUAUCGCUAUGCUGCGCUACCUAUCAUUUGCUCUUCAAGCCACCCAAAUUGCCUUGUCAGCCUCUAACCUUUUUCACCCUUCCUAGCAAACCGUUGCUUGGUUAUGUUAUCGCUUUGCUCAGCCCUCUUAUAGCGUUGUUAGUUGUAGGUGAAGUUGAAGAUUGCUCCAUGAUGGACAGGGUUAUGUUGGGAUAUCACAAUAUCUCUUAUUUAAUUAAUGCAUCGACAUACUUGGUAAAGGCUGGAAGGCUCGACCUUAUGCCUGGUGUUUUGUUCCACUCUUGCCAUCGUAGUUUCCGUCAUACCGGUGUUAUGUUCCUUGAUUUUGCGUUUCUUACGCGGUUGGGUGAUUUAUGGGACCCCCUUGAUAGUUCGCUUUGAAUAAAACUCCUCCAGCAAGGCCCAACCUUGGUUUUAUCAUUUUCCUACCUAAGCCUUUUUCUCUUGGGUUUCCGGAGCCCGAGGGUCAUCUUUAUUUAACCCCCUCGGGCUAGUGCUCCUUCGAGUGUUGGUCCGAACCGAGCAGCCUGUGGGGCCACCUCGAGGAAACUUGUGGGCUGGUUUUACUCGUAGCUUGACUUAUACGGUGUGCCCUGAGAAUGAGGUACGUGCGACUCCUAUCGGGAUUUGUUAGCACAUCGGGCGGCUUUGCUGGUCUUGUUUUACCACUGUCGAAAUGUCUUGUAAACCGGGAUUCCGAGACUGAUCGGGUCUUCCUGGGAGAAGGAAUAUCCUUCGUUGACCGUGAGAGCUUGUGAUGGGCUAAGUUGGGACACCCCUGCAGGGUAUAAACUUUCGAGAGCCGUGCCGCGGUUAUGUGCCAGAUGGGAAUUUGUUAAUAUCCGGUUGUAGAGAACUUGACACUUGACUCAAUUAAAAUGCAUCAACCGUGUGUGUAGCCGUGAUGGUCUGUUUUCAGUGGAGUCCGGGAAGUGAACACGGUCUUUGGGUUAUGUUUGAACGUAAGUAGUUCAGGAUCAGUUCUUGAUCAUUGCUAGCUUCACGACCGUUCCGUUGCUUCUCUUCUCGCUCUUAUUUGUGUAUGUUAGCUACCAUAUCAUGCUUAGUCGCUGCUGCAACCUCACCACUUUACCCCUUCCUUACCCUUUAAGCUUUGCUAGUCUUGAUACCCAUGGUAAUGGGAUUGCUGAGUCCUCGUGGCUGACAGAUUACUACAACAACAGUUGCAGGUACAGGUUAUGCGAUGAUCAUGACGUGAGAGCGAUGUUUGCUUACUUUGGAGCUCUUCUUCUGCUUCUUCUUCGAUCAGGGGAUAGGUUGCAGGUCGGCAGCCUGGGCUAGCAGGGUGGAUGUCGUUCGAGCUUCUGUUUGUGUUUCAUCCGUAGUCGGAUGUUGAUCUUAUGGAUGAUGUAUUGAUGUAUUCUUGUGGCAUUGUUUGCCUCUUGUAUGUAUCCCCAACUAUUAUGUAAUGGUACGAUGUAAUGAUAUCCACCUUGCAAAAGAGUCUUCAAGAUGCACUUCUAUCCUUGGUGGGACCUUCGAGUUCCUUUAGGAUAGGGUCGCAUCUUGGGCAUGACACAUGCACACCUAGUUAGUUUCAGUUUGAGCUUUCAUACACUUAUAGCUCUAGUGCAUCCGUUGCAUGGCAAUCCUUGUCGUGGUUCUAAGUCUGAUAGUAGAAUAGGGGGUAGGUAUGGAGAGGCAAGAUCCUAGCUAUGGAGCAGUUGUGCACACAAGUGUUUUACGAGUUCAGGCCCUUCUCGGAGGAAGUAACAGCCCUACGUCUCGGAGCCCGGAGGCGGUCGACUGGAUUAUGUGUGUGAGAGUUACAUGGGUGCGAACCCUUCUACCAGUGGAGGGGGUGGCUUAUAUAGAGGACGCCAAGACCCCAGCUAGCCCACGUAGCAGAGGGUUAAAGUACACUAAGGUCUGGCAUUAUUGGUAACGCCCUACAUAAAGUGCCAUCAUGACCAUUAAGACUACUUAAUUACAGACCGUUUGGAUACAGAGUAGAUCUUGAACUCCUGGUGGUCGAGUGAGUCUUCAUGGUCGAGUGUCUUCAGUUUCGUCGAGUGUCUUCUAGUCUGUCGAGUGGAGUUCCUCUUGGUCGACUGGAAGACGCCUUCUUCUAAAAGAUGUCCUUGGGGAGGGUACCUUGGUCAGGUUCAUGACCCUACCCUAGGUACAUGACUUCAUCAGUAGCCCCCGAAUGGAUCAAGGUUUGAGUGAGGAAGGAGUUGGCAAUCUUUUCGACCUGCUUUCUGGUGUUGUAAAGGUGUUUUACUCUGGAUCAAUGACUUUCGAGUGAGGGUGUCAACUUUUGUUCAGUCACCUUGAUCCAUUCUUUAUAUCUGUCGAGUGAACUUUAUGAACUUGGUGAUUUUCGAGCGACGGAUCGCAGGAGAUCUUCCGUUUGACAAGUUGCCAUGUGGUUAGCGGAUUUAGUGGGAUCCAAAUUUUGGGAAGCGCGCGAAGCAGAGAAGACCGCGAUACUCGGAUGGGAUAAGGCAGGGACACCUCGAUUCUCACGCCACCUUUUUCGCCACGUAUCGCUUGCGCGACUGUUUCGGGAUUUGACAGGAUCGCCUGGGCCUACCUGUCGGCCACUCGGAAGUGACUCCAUAUAAGGAAACCGGCAGAGGUUUUUUGAACAGUGCCUCCUCAUUUUCUCCUCCCUCGCCUCCAGAUUCAUCCGCUGCGCCCACCAACUGCCCGACGCCGCUGCUCCGUUCCGGCCUCGUCGGCGACAAUGGUGAAAGAGAAGACGGCGGCUUUGGAGCAGGCGAAGAAGGCGACGGCGGCGGCGAAAGUGAAGGGGAGAGCGACCAGUCUAGGGGGAUCCUCGUCGCGGUCCCGUUUGCCGCAAGGUUGGAUCUAGGGUGAUUGGAUCCGCUCGACCAUCACCCAAAAGGAUCUCGACGACCUGGCCGACGAAGGCCUGAUUGCGCACGGGGUGGUGAGGCUCCCGGGGAUGGAGUGGCAGCCACAGCCUCAGGAGGGUGAGUGUGUCCUCUUGGCGACUCAUGUAGAUCGAGGGUUCUCUCUGCCACCGCAUCUUUUCUUUCGAGGGUUUCUGAAUUUCUUUGGACCUCAGCUUGUAACGCCCCGGAUUCGAUGCGCCACGUGUCUUCCAGUUAUUCGCCGUCAUUGCCAUGUCAUUUGCUUGUGUGUUGCAUUUUGCCAUGUCAUCAUCUGCAUUUCAUCCGCAUGUUUUUCAAAACUUGCAUCCGUUCGGGUUCUCCCGGUUCUCUUCGUUGUCCGUUCGGAGUCCGGACCUCUCGCGCGCGCCCGCCGCCCCUCUUAGACCUUGUUUUCAUGUGUGGGUGUUAAAUGUUCUCGGAAUGGCCCGAGGUUUGCCAAGCGACCUUGGUAUAGCAUCGGUAGACCGCCUGUCAAGUUUCGUGCCAUUUGGAGUCCGUUUGAUACUCCAACGGUUAACCGAGGGACCGAAAAGGCCUCGUGUGUGUUGCAGCCCAACACCCUUCCAAACUGGCCCAAAACCCAUCCUAACCCCCUCCAUGCUCUCGGUCGUUCGAUCACGAUCGUGUGGGCGAAAACCGUGCCUCAUUUGGACUCUCCUAGCUCCCUCUACCUAUAUAUUCCCCUCUCCCCCGAAAUUUCGCAGUCGAAACACCCCAAACCCUAGAUUUUCCCCUCUGCGCCGCGCCGAACAUGUCCAACCCCGGCCGGACAUGUCCGCUCCACCGCCCCCGUCCAACCGGCGUCCACCACGUGUCCCCGCCGCCGUCCUCCACCACGCGCCGUCGCCGCGGCCCGAGGGAGCCCGGAUCGGGCCCGCCCUGUGCCAGAUCGGGCCCACCGCCGCCCGNNNNNNNNNNNNNNNNNNNNNNNNNNNNNNNNNNNNNNNNNNNNNNNNNNNNNNNNNNNNNNNNNNNNNNNNNNNNNNNNNNNNNNNNNNNNNNNNNNNNNNNNNNNNNNNNNNNNNNNNNNNNNNNNNNNNNNNNNNNNNNNNNNNNNNNNNNNNNNNNNNNNNNNNNNNNNNNNNNNNNNNNNNNNNNNNNNNNNNNNNNNNNNNNNNNNNNNNNNNNNNNNNNNNNNNNNNNNNNNNNNNNNNNNNNNNNNNNNNNNNNNNNNNNNNNCGCCGCCGCGUGCCUCCCGCGCCACCGGCGAACUUCAGCUCGCGCUCGCCCGCCUCCGGCCUUCCCCCUCGUCGCAGGCCGUCGUCCCGGCCACUCAGCGCGCCGCCCCAUCGCCGGAUCCGGGCGGGUGGAUGAGAUCCACCCGUCCCACGAUCCAAAGGGGCACCUGGAACCGCCCCGUCCUGGAUCUCCUCUUCCGCACCGUUCCGUCCAACUUUUCCCGCGAUGUGAAAUUGGCCAAGUCCUCGUAGUAUUUUGACAUUAUCAUGCCAUGUUCAUCACAUCAUAUCUCUGCAUCCGUAGCUCCGUUUCGUGCGUGUAAUAUGUCAAAUUGUUCGUCUCAAUGAGUACUUCAUUUCAUUCCAUUGCACCAUGUUUAUUUCAGUCCAUCUUGAUGCCUGAAUCAUUGUUGCAAAAGUGCUUCAUAAUGUUAGUUCAUGUUUCUUAACAGAAUGUGUGCUUUUGUCAUUUUUGCCAUGAUUGAUGUGUGCAUCUUAUGAGGUUGAUGUAUACAUGUGUUUUGAACUAUGUCAUGCCAUCUUUACAGUGGUGUAUGCCAUGUAUUUUUGUGAUCAAUAUGGUGACUAGCACAAGCAUGCAAACUAGGCUUCGUGAUAUUGCUGAUUUCAGACCCUGUUCUGCUGUUAUUUUCCUGCCAUGUAAACUUGAUGCUACAGAGAGAUCCAUGCAUAUUUUGAGAUACUCCAGUAAGGAUGUUUUGAACAUAUGGUUAUCCUCUAUACAUUCAUGAACCUAUUUGCAAUUAUGGAGUAGUCUAGCAUGUCAUUUUCGUGCUCUACUUUUGCUACAAAAUGUUUCCUGGCAGAUUGUUUACAUGUUAUUCAAUUUUGCCAAGGUUGUUGUAGUUGAUCCUUGCAUGCUAUGAACUUAUUCUUGCCUUGGUUUGUUUCAUAAACAUGUCUUCGUGCUGAUGCUAUGCUUAUCUUGUCAUGCAAUGACUUGUGGUGAGUGAAUGAAGCUUGUUAAGUAGGGUACUUGUUGUUACUGUUUUGCUAGGCUGAAUCUGUUAUUUCGUGAUGCUAUGUAAACCUGCUGCUAAAAGUCAUUAUAUGCAUAAUCUGGAGAUGUUCACUAAGGGUGUUUUGUUCUACAUGUCAUGCUCUAUCCAUCCAUGCCCUUGGUUGCAUUUAUAGCCUACUGUAGCUUAUUGUUUCCUUGCUCCAAAGUUGCUAAAUAAUGUUGUUGUCAGCCUGUUAACAUUAAGUUCAGUUGUUGCCAUGAUUGUUGUUAGUGUUCCAUGCACCCUAUGAACUUGCUCUUGCCAUGCUUAGCUUCACAAACAUGUAUUCUUACUGUUGGUUGCUUUGCCAUGCCAUGCAAUGAUCUGUGGUGAGUGAUACAAGCUCACCAACAUGCCUACUUAUCGUUGUUUCUGCCAUGUUUAAAUCUGUAAUAUAACUUGCCAUGUUUACAUGGGUGCCAUCAUAUUUUUUGAUCCUUUUUGGCUCAUGGUCAGUAAAGGACUUUUGUUCUAUGCAUUUAGUAGUAUCAUGCCAUGUCUUUGUUUGCCAUGAUAAGUUCUUGUAACAUGUUGUUUGAUAGCUCUAAACAUUGCAACCUGAUGUUAUUUUCUGCAAAGUCUAAACGGUUAUUGUUUGCAAUCUUGCCAUGUGUGUUUGAGCAUGUUCUAGUGAUUUCUGGAGAUAGCUCAGUGUUCAUGUUUUGUUAUGCUUUACCUAUACGUCAUGCCCAUGCCUUUUGUUUUCAUAUUGGGGUGCUUUAGCAUAUUGUUUUGGUGCUUGCAAUAUGCCUAGUUGCUGUUUUGGACGAAUUGUUGCUAUAACUUGUAUAGUGUUUGUGUGUUGAACCGUUGCUCCGUUUUGAGUGUGCUCUAUAUGGAACUUGCUUAGAAUUGCAUGUAGUUUCAUAUUAUCAUGUUGCAUCCUUGUUUUGGUGUGUUUUCUUGAUGUUUGAAUGCAUUUUGCAUCAAUGCCAUGUUUAACUUGUUUUGCUCAUAUCUUCUAGGCCGUAGCUCCGAACUAAAUGAACUUUAUGUGUAACUUGACUAGAAUCUCAUGUAGAUCAUCUUUGUGCAUCUUAACUUGCUGUUUAACAACUUGAACAUAAGGUUUAUUAAGAUCUGGACCAAUUCCUAAAUAUGCAUAUGAGGACUUACCGGAAUUGUUAUAUGUUGUUCCCGGCCUCAUUUAAACUUGCCUUGAUGUGUUGCUCUUGUUUGCAUCAUCUCUUGCCAUGAGUAGCUUCAUGUAGUCUUGUCUUGCAUCAUGCUUGUUCGUGCAUCAUUUCGUGUUCAUGUGUGGUGUGUUUACCUUUUUGUGUGCUUCUCUUGAUAGUUCCCGUUUCGUUGCGAUCGUGAGGUUUCGUUCGUCUACGCUUGGUUCGGCUUCACGCUUUCGUCUUCUUCAUGGACUCGUUCUUCUUCCUAGCGGGAUUUCACGCAAGAUGACCGCUACCCUGGAUCUCACUACUAUCAUUGCUAUGCUAGUUGUUUCGUUAUAUCGCUAUGCUGCGUUACCUAUCUUUUGCUCCUCAAGCCUCCCAAAUUGCCAUGAACCUCUAACCUUUGACACCCUUCCUAGCAAACCAUUGCUUGGCUAUGUUACCGCUUUGCUCAGCCCCUCUUAUAGCAUUGCUAGUUGCAGGUGAAGUUGAAGAUUUCCCCAUGGUGGAGAGGAUUAUGUUGGGAUAUCACAAUAUCUCUUAUAUUAUUAAUGCAUCUAUAUACUUGGUAAAGGGUGGAAGGCUCGGCCUUAUUCCUGGUGUUUUGUUCCACUCUUGCCGCCCUAGUUUCCGUCAUACCAGUGUUAUGUUCCCGGAUUUUGCGUUCCUUACGCGGUUGGGUGAUUUAUGGGACCCCCUUGACAGUUCGCUUUGAAUAAAACUCCUCCAGCAACGCCCAACAUUGGUUUUACCAUUUGCAUCACCACCACCUAUAUUUCCCUUGGGAGUAAUUAACCCAAGGGUCAUCUUUAUUUUAGCCCCCCCCCGGGCCAGUGCUUGUCUAAGUGUUGGUCCGAACCGAGCAGCCUGCGGGGCCCCCUCGGGGAAACUCGAGGUCUGGUUUUACUCGUAGCUUGACUUAUCCGGUGUUGCCCUAAGAACGAGAUAUGUGCAGCUCCUAUCGGGAUUGUCGGCGCAUCGGGUGGCUUUGCUGGUCUUGUUUUACCAUUGUUGAAAUGUCUUGUAAACCGGGAUUCCGAGUCUAAUUGGGUCUUCCUGGGAGAAGGUAUAUCCUUCGUUGAUCGCGAGAGCUUAUCAUGGGCUAAGUUGGGACACCCCUGCAGGGCAUAAUCUUUUGAAAGUCGUGCCUGCGGUUAUAGGCAGAUGGGAAUUUGUCAAUGUCCGGUUGUAGAUAACUUGACACCAGAUCCGAAUUAAAACGCAUCAACCGCGUGUGUAGCCGUGAUGGUCUCUUCUCGGCGGAGUCCGGGAAGUGAACACGGUCUUUGGGUUAUGUUUGACGUAAGUGAAGGAAAUAUGCCCUAGAGGCAAUAAUAAAGUUAUUAUUUAUUUCCUUAUAAUCAUGAUAAAUGUUUAUUAUGCAUGCUAGAAUUGUAUUUACCGGAAACAUAAUACAUGUGUGAAUACAUAGACAAACAAAGUGUCACUAGUAUGCCUCUACUUGACUAGCUCGUUAAUCAAAGAUGGUUAUGUUUCCUAACCAUGAACAAUGAGUUGUUAUUUGAUUAACGAGGUCACAUCAUUAGUAGAAUGAUCUGAUUGACAUGACCCAUUCCAUUAGCUUAGCACCCGAUCGUUUAGUAUGUUGCUAUUGCUUUCUUCAUAACUUAUACAUGUUCCUAUGACUAUGAGAUUAUGCAACUCCCGUUUACCGGAGGAACACUUUGGGUACUACCAAACAUCACAACGUAACUGGGUGAUUAUAAAGGAGUACUACAGGUGUCUCCAAUGGUCGAUGUUGGGUUGGCGUAUUUCGAGAUUAGGAUUUGUCACUCCGAUUGUCGGAGAGGUAUCUCUGGGCCCUCUUGGUAAUACACAUCACAUAAGCCUUGCAAGCAUUACAACUAAUAUGUUAGUUGUGAGAUGAUGUAUUACGGAACGAGUAAAGAGACUUGCCGGUAAUGAGAUUGAACUAGGUAUUGGAUACCGACGAUCGAAUCUCGGGCAAGUAACAUACCGAUGACAAAGGGAACAACGUAUGUUGUUAUGCGGUCUGACCGAUAAAGACCUUCAUAGAAUGUGUAGGAGCCAAUAUGGGCAUCUAGGUCCCGCUAUUGGUUAUUGACCGGAGACGUGUCUCGGUCAUGUCUACAUUGUUCUCGAACCCGUAGGGUCCGCACGCUUAAGGUUACGAUGACAGUUAUAUUAUGAGUUUACAUGUUUUGAUGUACCGAAUGAGUUCGGAGUCCCGGAUGAGAUCGGGGACAUGACGAGGAGUCUCGAAAUGGUCGAGACGUAAAGAUUCAUAUAUUGGAUGAUAUGGUUAGGCCAAGGGGUCAAGCCCAUGAGGCUUUAGGUCGGUGCAAAAGGAGUUUUGCGGAGGCCAGGGGGCCAAACGCCGGAGACCCUGGCGUCUGGCCCUGGGCCAGACGCCGAGGCCCAUGGCGUCUGGGCCAGACGCCAAGGAUUGUGGCGUUUGGUCCUGGAGUCCGAGUGGGACUCUUGCCUUUCGGGCAAAACCGACUUUGAGGAGGCUUUUGCUCCAAGUUUCGACCCCGGGGCUCAACAUAUAAAUAGAGGGGCAGGGCUAGCACCAAAGGGACAACAAGUUGAUCCACGUGAUCUAUUCCUUAGCCGUGUGCGGCGCCCCCAGCCACCAUAUUCCUCGAUAAUACUGUAGCGGAGUUUAGGCGAAGCCCUGCUGCUGUAGUUCAUCAAGAUCGUCACCACGCCGUCAUGCUGACGGAACUCUUCCCCGACACUUUGCUGGAUCGGAGUCCGGGGAUCGUCAUCGAGCUGAACGUGUGCUCGAACUCGGAGGUGCUAUAGUUUCGGUGCUUGAUCGGUUGGAUCGGGAAGACGUACGACUACUUCCCCUAUGUUGUGUCAUCGCUUCCGCAGUCGGUCUACAUUGGGUAAGUAGACAAUACUCUCCCCUCGUUGCUAUGCAUCACAUGAUCUUGCGUGUGCGUAGGAAAUUUUUUGAAAUUACUACGUUCCCCAACAGUGGCAUCCGAGCCUAGGUUACUUAUGUUGAUGUUAUAUGCACGAGUAGAACACAAGUGAGUUGUGGACGAUACAAGUCAUACUGCCUACCAGCAUGUCAUACUUUGGUUCGGCGGUAUUGUUGGACGAGACGACCCGGACCAACCUUACGCGUACGCUUACGCGAGACCGGUUCCCUCGACGUGCUUUGCACAGAGAUGGCUUGCGGGUGACUGCCUCUCCAACUUUAGUUGAACCAAGUAUGGCUACGCCCGGUCCUUGCGAAGGUUAAAACGGAGUCUAUUUGACAAACUAUCGUUGUGGUUUUGAUGCGUAGGUGAGAUUGGUUCUUACUUAAGCCCGUAGCAGCCACGUAAAACAUGCAACAACAAAGUAGAGGACGUCUAACUUGUUUUUGCAGGGCAUGUUGUGAUGUGAUAUGGUCAAGGCAUGAUGCUGAAUUUUAUUGUAUGAGAUGAUCAUGUUUUGUAACCGAGUUAUCGGCAACUGGCAAGAGCCAUAUGGUUGUCUCUUUAUUGUAUGCAAUGCAAUCGCGAUGUAAUGCUUUACUUUAUUACUAAACGGUAGUGAUAGUCGUGAAAGCAUAAGAUUGGCGAGACGACAACGAUGCUACGAUGGAGAUCAAGGUGUCGCGCCGGUGAUGAUGGUGAUCAUGACGGUGCUUCGGAGAUGGAGAUCACAAGCACAAGAUGAUGAUGGCCAUAUCAUAUCACUUAUAUUGAUUGCAUGUGAUGUUUAUCUUUUUAUGCAUCUUAUCUUGCUUUGAUUGACGGUAGCAUUAUAAGAUGAUCUCUCACUAAAUUAUCAAGAAGUGUUCUCCCUGAGUAUGCACCGUUGCGAAAGUUCUUCGUGCUGAGACACCACGUGAUGAUCGGGUGUGAUAGGCUCUACGUUCAAAUACAACGGGUGCCAAACAGUUGCACACGCGGAAUACUCAGGUUAUACUUGACGAGCCUAGCAUAUACAGAUAUGGCCUCGGAACACGGAGACCGAAAGGUCGAGCGUGAAUCAUAUAGUAGAUAUGAUCAACAUAGUGAUGUUCACCAUUGAAACUACUCCAUCUCACGUGAUGAUCGGACAUGGUUUAGUUGAUUUGGAUCACGUGAUCACUUAGAGGAUUAGAGGGAUGUCUGUCUAAGUGGGAGUUCUUAAGUAAUAUGAUUAAUUGAACUUAAAUUUAUCAUGAACUUAGUCCUGGUAGUAUUUUGCAAAUUAUAGAUCAAUAGCUCGCGUUGUUGCUUCCCUGUGUUUAUUUUGAUAUGUUCCUAGAGAAAAUUGUGUUGAAAGAUGUUAGUAGCAAUGAUGCGGAUUGGAUCCGUGAUCUGAGGAUUAUCCUCAUUGCUGCACAGAAGAAUUAUGUCCUUGAUGCACCGCUAGGUGACAGACCUAUUGCAGGAGCAGAUGCAAACGUUAUGAACAUUUAGCUAGCUCAAUAUGAUGACUACUUGAUAGUUUAAGUGCACCAUGCUUAACGGCUUAGAAUCGGGACUUCAAAGACGUUUUGAACGUCAUGGACCGUAUGAGAUGUUCCAGGAGUUGAAGUUAAUAUUUCAAGCAAAUACCCGAGUUGUGAGAUAUAAAGUCUCCAACAAGUUCUAUAGCUAAAAGAUGGAGGAGAAUCGCUCAACUAGUGAGCAUGUGCUCAGAUUGUCUGGGUACUACAAUCGCUUGAAUCAAGUGGGAGUUAAUCUUCCAGAUAAGAUAGUGAUUGACAGAAUUCUCUAGUCACCAUCACCAAGUUAGUAGAACUUCGUGAUGAACUAUAAUAUGCAAGGGAUAACGGAAACAACUCCCAAGCUCUUCGUGAUGAUGAAAUCAAUGAAGGUAGAAAUCAAGAAAAACAUCAAGUGUUGAUGGUUGAUAAGACCACUAGUUUCAAGAAAAGGGCAAAGGGAAGAAGGGGAACUUCAAGAAGAACGGCAAGCAAGUUGCUGCUCAAGUGAAGAAGCCCAAGUCUGGUCCUAAGCCUGAGACUAAGUGCUUCUACUGCAAAGGGACUGGUCACCGGAAACGGAAUCACCCCAAGUGAUUGGCGGAUAAGAAGGAUGGCAAAGUGAACAUAAGUAUAUUUGAUAUACAUGUUAUUGAUGUGUACUUUACUAGUGUUUAUAGCAAAUCCUAAGUAUUUGAUACUAGUUCAGUUGCUAAGAUUAGUAACUCGAAACGGGAGUUGCAGAAUAAACAGAGACUAGUUAAGGGUGAAGUGACGAUGUGUGUUGGAAGUGGUUCCAAGAUUGAUAUGAUCAUCAUCGCACACUCCCUAUAAUUUCGGGAUUAGUGUUGAAACUAAAUAAGUGUUAUUUGGUGUUUGCGUUGAGGAUGAAUAUGAUUUGAUCAUGUUUAUUGUAAUACGGUUAUUCAUUUAAGUAAAAGAAUAAAUUGUUGUUCUGUUUACAUGAAUAAAACUUAAUAUGGUUACACACCCAAUGAAAAUAGUUCAUUGGAUCUCGAUCUUAGUGAUACACAUAUUCAUAAUAUUGAAACCAAAAGAUGUAAAGUUAAUAAUGAUAGUGCAACUUAUUUAUGGCACUGCCGUUUAGGUCAUAUUGGUGUAAAGCGCAUGAAGAAACUCCAUGCUGAUGGGAUUUUGGAAUCACUUGAUUAUGAAUCACUUGAUGCUUGCGAACCAUGCCUUAUGGGCAAGAUGACUAAAACGCCGUUCUCCGGAACAAUGAAGCAAGCAACAGAUUUGUUGGAAAUCAUACAUACCGAUGUAUGUGGUCCGAUGAAAGGCUUACAGCAGGUAUCAUUAUUUUCUGACCUUCACAAGAUGAUUUGAGCAGAUAUGGGGAUAUCUACUUGAUGAAACAUAAGUCUGAAAUAAUUGAAAGGUUCAAAGAAUUUCAGAGUGAAGUGGAAAAAUCAUCGUAACAAGAAAAAAUAAGUUUCUGCGAUCUGAUCACGGAGACGAAUAUUUGAGUUACGAGUUUGGUCUUCAAUUAAAACAAUGUGGAAUAGUUUCAUAGCUCACGCCACCUGGAACACCACAAUGUUAUGGUGUGUCCGAACGUCGUAACUGCGCUUUAUUGGAUAUGGUGCGAUCUAUGAUGUCUCUUAUUGAUUUACCAUUGUCGUUUUGGGGUUAUGCAUUAGAGACAGCUGCAUUCACGUUAAAAGGGCACCAUCUAAAUCCGUUGAGACAACACUAUAUGAACUGUGGUUUAGCAAGAAACCCAAGUUGUCGUUUCUUAAAGUUUGGGGCUGCGAUGCUUAUGUGGAAAAGUUUCAUCCUGAUAAGCUUGAACCCAAAUCGGAGAAGUGCGUCUUCAUAGAAUACCCAAAGGAAAUUGUUGGGUACACCUUCUAUCACAAAUCCGGAGGCAAGAUAUUCGUUGCUAAAAAUGGAUCCUUUCUGGAGAAGGAGUUUCUCUCGAAAGAAGUGAGUGGGAGGAAAGUAGAACUUGAUGAGGUAACUGUACCUGCUCCCUUAUUGGAAAGUAGUUCAUCACAGAAAUAAGUUCCUGUGACAAAUACACCAAUUAGUGAGGAAGCUAAUGAUAUUGAUCAUAAAACUUCAGAUCAAGUUACUACAGAACCUCGUAGGUCUUCCAGAGUAAGAUCUGCACCAGAGUGGUGUAGUAAUCAUGUUCUGGAAGUCAUGUUACUAGACCAUGGUGAACCUACGAACUAUGAGGAAGCGAUGAUGAGCCCAGAUUCCGCGAGAUGGCUUGAGGCCAUAAAAUCUGAGAUAUGAUCCAUGUAUGACAACAAAGUAUGGACUCUGAUUGACUUGCUCGAUGAUCAGCAAAGCCAUGUUAAAUAAAUGGAUCUUCAAGAGGAAGACGGACACUGAUAGUAGUGUUACUAUCUACCAAGCUCGACUUGUUGCAAAAGUUUUUCAACAAGUUCAAGGUGUUGAAUACGAUGAGGUUUUCUCACUCGUAUCGAUGCUUAAGUCUAUCUGAAUCAUGUUAGAAAUUGCCACAUUUUAUGAAAUCUGGCAAAUGGAUGUCAAAACUGCAUUCCUUAAUGGAUUUAUUAAAGAAGAGUUGUAUAUGAUGCAACCAGAAGGUUUUGUCAAUCCUAAAGGUGCUAACAAAAUGUGCAAGCUCCAGCGAUCCAUCUAUGGACUGGUGCAAGCAUCUAGGAGUUGGAAUAUACGCUUUGAUAAGUUGAUCAAAGCAUAUAGUUUUAUAUGGACUUACGAUGAAGCCUGUAUUUACAAUAAAGUGAGUGGGAGCACUACAGCCUUUCUGAUUAGUAUAUGUGAGUGACAUAUUGUUGAUCAGAAAUGAUGUAGAAUUUUUCUGCAAAGCAUAAAGGAGUGUUUUAAAGGAGUUCUUUAAAAAGAAAAGACCUCAGUAAAAAGCUACUUAUAUAUUGAGAAUCAAGAUCUAUUGAGAUAGAUCAAGACGCUUGAUAAAGAUUUUCAAUGAGUACAUACCUUGGCAAGAUUUUGAAAUAGUUCAAAAUGGAACAGUUAAAGAAAGAGUUCUUGCCUGUGUUGCAAAGGUAUGAAAUUGAGUAAGACUCAAAUCCCGACCACAGCAGAAAAUAGAAAGAGAAUGAAAAGUCAUUCCCUAUGCCUCAGUCAUAGGUUCUAUAAAGUAUGCUAUGAUUUGUACUAGACCUAUUGUAUACCUUGCUCUGUAUUUGGCAAGGGAGUACAAUAGUGAUCUAGGAGUAGAUCACUGGACAUUGGUCAAGAAUAUCCUUAGUAAGGACUAAGGAGAUGUUUCUCGAUUAUGGAGGUGAUAAAAGAGUUUGUUGUAAAAGUUACAUCAGUGCAAAUUUUUACACUGAUCCAGAUGACUCUAAGUCUCAAUCUGGAUACAUAUUGAAAGUGGGAGCGAUUAGCUAGAGUAGCUCCGUACAGAGCAUUGUAGACAUAGAAUAUUUGCAAAAUACAUACGGCUCUGAAUGUAACAAACCCGUUGACUAAGCUUCUCUCACGAGAAAAACAUGAUCACACCUUAGUACUCUUUGGAUGUUAAUCACAUAGAGAUGUGAACUAGAUUAUUGACUCUAGUAAACCCUUUGGGUGUUGGUCACAUGAUGAUGUGAACUAUGGGUGUUAAUCAUAUACAGAUAUGAAUAUUGGUGUUAAAUCACAUGACGAUGUGAACUAGAUUAUUGACUCUAGUGCAAGUGGGAGACUGAAGGAAAUAUGCCCUAGAGGCAAUAAUAAAGUUAUUAUUUAUUUCCUUAUAAUCAUGAUAAAUGUUUAUUAUUCAUGCUAGAAUUGUAUUUACCGGAAACAUAAUACAUGUGUGAAUACAUAGACAAACAAAGUGUCACUAGUAUGCCUCUACUUGACUAGCUCGUUAAUCAAAGAUGGUUAUGUUUCCUAACCAUGAACAAUGAGUUGUUAUUUGAUUAACGAGGUCACAUCAUUAGUAGAAUGAUCUGAUUGACAUGACCCAUUCCAUUAGCUUAGCACCCGAUCGUUUAGUAUGUUGCUAUUGCUUUCUUCAUGACUUAUACAUGUUCCUAUGACUAUGAGAUUAUGCAACUCCCGUUUACCAGAGGAACACUUUGGGUACUACCAAACGUCACAACGUAACUGGGUGAUUAUAAAGUAGUACUACAGGUGUCUCCAAUGGUCGAUGUUGGGUUGGCGUAUUUCAAGAUUAGGAUUUGUCACUCCGAUUGUCGGAGAGGUAUCUCUGGGCCCUCUCGGUAAUACACAUCACAUAAGCCUUGCAAGCAUUACAACUAAUAUGUUAGUUGUGAGAUGAUGUAUUACGGAACGAGUAAAGAGACUUGCCGGUAACGAGAUUGAACUAGGUAUUGGAUACCGACGAUCGAAUCUCAGGCAAGUAACAUACCGAUGACAAAGGGAACAACGUAUGUUGUUAUGCGGUCUGACCGAUAAAGAUCUUCGUAGAAUAUGUAGGAGCCAAUAUGGGCAUCCAGGUCCCGCUAUUGGUUAUUGACCGGAGACGUGUCUCGGUCAUGUCUACAUUGUUCUCGAACCCGUAGGGUCCGCACGCUUAAGGUUACGAUGACAGUUAUAUUAUGAGUUUAUGCAUUUUGAUGUACCGAAGGUUGUUCGGAGUCCCGGAUGUGAUCACGGACAUGACGAGGAGUCUCGAAAUGGUCGAGACGUAAAGAUUGAUAUAUUGGAAGCCUAUAUUUGGAUAUCGAAAGUGUUCCGGGUGAAAUCGGGAUUUUACCGGAAUACCGAGAGGGUUACCGGAACCCCCCGGGAGCUAUUUGGGCCAUAGUGGGCCUUAGUGGAAAAGAGAAGGGGCUGCCCUAGAUGGGCUGCGCGCCACCCCCUAGUCCUAUUAGGACUAGGAGAGGUGGCCGGCCCCCUCCUCCUCUUUUCCCCUCCGAGGAAUCCUAGUUGGACUAGGAUUGGAGGGGGAAUCCUACUCCCAGAGGGAGUAGGACUCUCCUGCGCCUCCCCCCCUUGGCCGGCCAGCCUCCCCUCCUCUCCUCCUUUAUAUACGGAGGCAGGGGCACCUCUAAACACACAAGUUGACACAAGUUGAUCCACGUGAUCGAUUCCUUAGCCGUGUGCGGUGCCCCCUGCCACCAUAUUCCUCGAUAAUACUGUAGCGGAGUUUAGGCGAAGCCCUGCUGCUGUAGUUCAUCAAGAUCGUCACCACGCCGUCGUGCUGACGAAACUCUUCCCCGACACUUUGCUGGAUCGGAGUCCGGGGAUCGUCAUCGAGCUGAACGUGUGCUCGAACUCGGAGGUGCCGUAGUUUCGGUGCUUGAUCGGUUGGAUCGUGAAGACGUACGACUACUUCCUCUACGUCGUGUCAUCGCUUCCGCAGUCGGUCUGCGUUGGGUACGUAGACAACACUCUCCUCUCGUUGCUAUGCAUCACAUGAUCCUGUGUGCGCGUAGGAAAAUUUUUGAAAUUACUACGAAACCUAACAAGAACAUCCUAAAAUACCUGAAAAGGACUAAGGAUAUGUUUCUCGUAUAUGGAGGUGACAAAGAGCUCACCGUAAAAGGUUACGUUGAUGCAAGCUUUGACACUGAUCCGGACGAUUCUAAAUCGCAAACCGGAUACGUGUUUACAUUAAACGGUGGAGCUGUCAGUUGGUGCAGUUCUAAACAAAGCGUUGUAGCGGGAUCUACAUGUGAAGCGGAAUACAUAGCUGCUUCGGAAGCAGCAAAUGAAGGAGUCUGGAUGAAGGAGUUCAUAUCCGAUCUAGGUGUCAUACCUAGUGCAUCGGGUCCAAUGAAAAUCUUUUGUGACAAUACUGGUGCAAUUGCCUUGGCAAAGGAAUCCAGAUUUCACAAAAGGACCAAACACAUCAAGAGACGCUUCAACUCCAUCCGGGAUCUAGUCCAGGUGGGAGACAUAGAGAUUUGCAAGAUACAUAUGGAUCUGAAUGUUGCAGACCCAUUGACUAAGCCUCUUCCACGAGCAAAACAUGAUCAGCACCAAGGCUCCAUGGGUGUUAGAAUCAUUACAGUGUAAUCUAGAUUAUUGACUCUAGUGCAAGUGGGAGACUGAAGGAAAUAUGCCCUAGAGGCAAUAAUAAAGUUAUUAUUUAUUUCCUUAUAAUCAUGAUAAAUGUUUAUUAUUCAUGCUAGAAUUGUAUUUACCAGAAACAUAAUACAUGUGUGAAUACAUAGACAAACAGAGUGUCACUAGUAUGCCUCUACUUGACUAGCUCGUUAAUCAAAGAUGGUUAUGUUUCCUAACCAUGAACAAUGAGUUGUUAUUUGAUUAACGAGGUCACAUCAUUAGUAGAAUGAUCUGAUUGACAUGACCCAUUCCAUUAGCUUAGCACCCGAUCGUUUAGUAUGUUGCUAUUGCUUUCUUCAUAACUUAUACAUGUUCCUAUGACUAUGAGAUUAUGCAACUCCCGUUUACCGGAGGAACACUUUGGGUACUACCAAACGUCACAACGUAACUGGGUGAUUAUAAAGGAGUACUACAGGUGUCUCCAAUGGUCGAUGUUGGGUUGGCGUAUUUCGAGAUUAGGAUUUGUCACUCCGAUUGUCGGAGAGGUAUCUCUGGGCCCUCUCGGUAAUACACAUCACAUAAGCCUUGCAAGCAUUACAACUAAUAUGUUAGUUGUGAGAUGAUGUAUUACGGAACGAGUAAAUAGACUUGCCGGUAACGAGAUUGAACUAGGUAUUGGAUACCGACGAUCGAAUCUCGGGCAAGUAACAUACCGAUGACAAAGGGAACAACGUAUGUUGUUAUGCGGCCUGACCGAUAAAGAUCUUCGUAGAAUGUGUAGGAGCCAAUAUGGGCAUCCAGGUCCCGCUAUUGGUUAUUGACCGGAGACGUGUCUCGGUAAUGUCUACAUUGUUCUCGAACCCGUAGGGUCCGCACGCUUAAGGUUACGAUGACAGUUAGAUUAUGACUUUACAUGUUUUGAUGUACCGAAGGAGUUCGGAGUCCCGGAUGAGAUCGGGGACAUGACGAGGAGUCUCGAAAUGGUCGAGACGUAAAGAUUCAUAUAUUGGAUGAUAUGGUUAGGCCAAGGGGUCAAGCCCAUGAGGCUUUAGGUCGGUGCAAAAGGAGUUUUGCGGAGGCCAGGGGGCCAAACGCCGGAGACCCUGGCGUCUGGCCCUGGGCCAGACGCCGAGGCCCAUGGCGUCUGGGCCAGACGCCAAGGAUUGUGGCGUUUGGUCCUGGAGUCCGAGUGGGACUCUUGCCUUUCAGGCAAAACCGACUUUGAGGAGGCUUUUGCUCCAAGUUUCGACCCCGGGGCUCAACAUAUAAAUAGAGGGGCAAGGCUAGCACCAAAGGGACAAAAAGUUGAUCCACGUGAUCUAUUCCUUAGCCGUGUGCGGCGCCCCCAGCCACCAUAUUCCUUGAUAAUACUGUAGCGGAGUUUAGGCGAAGCCCUGCUGCUGUAGUUCAUCAAGAUCGUCACCACGCCAUCGUGCUGACGGAACUCUUCCCCGACACUUUGCUGGAUCGGAGUCCGGGGAUCGUCAUCGAGCUGAACGUGUGCUCGAACUCGGAGGUGCCGUAGUUUCGGUGCUUGAUCGGUUGGAUCGGGAAGACGUACGACUACUUCCUCUAUGUUGUGUCAUCGCUUCCGCAGUCGGUGUACAUUGGGUACGUAGACAAUACUCUCCCCUCGUUGCUAUGCAUCACAUGAUCUUGCGUGUGCGUAGGAAAUUUUUUGAAAUUACUAUGUUCCCCAACAGUAAGUAGGAGUUCCGGAUCACUUCGUGAUCAUUGCUAGCUUCACGACCGGUCCUUUUGCUCUCUUCUCGCUCUUAUUUGCGUAUGUUAGCCACCAUAUCCUGCUUAGUCGCUGCUGCAACCUCACCACUUUACCCCUUCCUUUCCCAUUAAGCUUUGCUAGUCUUGAUACCCAUGGUAAUGGGAUUGCUGAGUCCUCGUGGCUCACAGAUUACUACAACAACAGUUGCAGGUACAUGUUAUGUGAUGAUCAUGACGCGAGAGCGAUGUUUGCUUGUUUUGGAGUUCUUCUUCUGCUUCUUCUUCGAUCAGGGGAUAGGUUCCAGGUCGGCAGCCUGGGCUAGCAGGGUGGAUGUCGUUUGAGUUUCUGUUUGUGUUUCAUCCGUAGUCGGAUGAUGCUCUUAUGUAUUGUGAUGUUGUAUUCGUGUGGCAUUGUAUGCCUCUUGUAUGUAUCCCCAUCUAUUAUGUAAUGUUGAUGUAAUGAUAUCCACCUUGCAAAAGCGUUUCGAUAUGCGGGUCUAUCCUUGGUGGGACCUUCGAGUUCCUUUUGGAUAGGGUCGCAUAUUGGGCGUGACACAACUUCACCACUUUACCCCCAAUUCCAUUGCCUAUCUCUCCGCCUUUGUAUCUUUGUGUGAAAACUUCUUGGGUUGUCGGCCGCACUGGGGCCUCUUCAAACACAUAUUCACUUGUCGUUCUCAGACGGUGAAAAAGGCCAGCCCCAAUGACGAGAGAACUCAGGUAAUCCAGAUGUGUGGGGGUCUCGGGGUCCAGAUGAGGAGUAAGAGCGCUUUCCCAGCUAUGACCCUUCCCGAGUCAGUCAGAGGGUGGCAGUCGACCUGGUUCUACUGCCAAGACCAGUCGACGCCAGGGUAGUCGACUGGGCUCCCUCCCUUCUCUAUGAGUCGAGUGAACAAGCCAUCCUCUCUGAAAGUAGUUCCGGAGGAGAAGGCUCAGGUAAAAAUGUUGAUGGAGCGUGUAGUCCAGUUGAUUCGUGACGGUGUGACUGGCAUGGACCUUCUGGAGGUUUUCCUUCGGUGGCGCAUCCAACCGCUCCAGUACCGGGGCCACCCGAUGUGGUUGUAUUCUGGUACUGAAGACACCAGUCGGGUCCAACCAGAGGAGGUCGAUGAUGCCACACUGGAGAGGUGGAUGACUGCCAUCACGGGGAACAAGGACAACCCUCGUGGAGCCAGGAUGAUCCCGCCACUCGACCAAUCUUACGAGGCGGACAAGGUACGACCACUUUCCUCCGAUUGCUCCGUCCGUUCUGUUUCGUCGUAGAUCAGUCGAUUGACUUUUGUCUUGCUUGUUGUCUUUAAGGAAACCACCAAGUUGUACUCGAUGCCCAACGGGGCGCAAGCACAGGCCGAAGAGGAGGAAGGGAGCGGAGGCAAAAGCCAAGAGGAGUGGGAGUCGGACGCCGAUGAGGGUGAUGAGGAUGCAGGCUCCGAUGAGGAGGAAGAGGAGGAGGAAGAGGAGGAGAAAGUUGCGCCUCCUCGUUCUGAAAGGAGGUCCAAGCUCGCCCACGACCCUUCGGCCGAACAUGGCAAGGGAGUCGUGCCUGCUGGGCAGUCGAUGAAACGUCCUCGGACAACUUCAUCGGCGCCGACUGAAAAGGCGUCGAAGCAACCCCGAGCGGCCCCGACAAAACCGGCGAAGGCCCUACCGAAGAUGAGGUAGGAGAUUCUGACUGUUUCUGGGUAACGACAUAACUCAUGUUUUUCAUUCUUGGUCGACUCAAUCGCUGACCGGCUGAUAUUUGAAAUCGCAGUGCUGCUACUUCUGAGACUUCAACCAGGCAUGAGGAUCAAGAAAUAGAAGAUGCUGCUACUUCUCAUCCUGGUAUGAUCUGCGCGGUUUUGCUUUUGGUCGAUUAAAUCUUUAUUUUUGACUUUGAACUUCUUCUGCAGCUCCACCUAGUGUUGUCAUCAAUCUCCCUGACGAUGAUGAUUGAAGCGCCACUAAGGCAGAGGAGGAGCAGGAAGGCGACUGUUGGCAAGGCUGUUCAGGUUGUGUCAGCACCUGGACCACAGAUUCCAGAGGGGAGCAACGUUGCUCGGGCUACCGUGUCCUUUGCGGAGCCGUUGACGGUUGCCCGCCCUUCGUCGUCGAGUGCUGACCCGCCUUCUCUCUUCUCCACCUACCACGUCCCGGAGGACCAAGCAAGCGCUGCCAAGGAAGCCAUACGCCAGGUGUGAUGCCCAGAUAAUCAAGCUACAGUAACCUCUGUUAAUGAUGCCAUGUCUCCACUCUUACUCUUGCUAACCUCGAAAUGAUUCGAAACCUUUACAAAUUCAAAUUCAAAUUAAUGUCAAACGACAAAGUUUUCAAAAUAUAAAACUAAAAUGUUCGGAGUGUGUAGUUAAAUGCCUAGGUGAUUAUAGUGCAACGAACACCCUUUUUGAAAAUGUCUAAAUAUAUUAAAAUGACAUAAAACAGAAAAGUGAAAUAAAUAAAUAAAUAAAAGGAGGAGACAAAUCUAACUAAAAAUAAAAAGAGGCGCCCCCCCACUGGGCCAUCUGUGGCCCAGCUGGCCAGCCCAGAUGGCCAGCCCAACUGGGCAAAGGCCCAGCCGACUGGCCCAGCCGGCCGACCCACUCCCUCCAUAUCCCCACCAGGGAGGAAACCCUAAACCACGACCCACCUCACUCCCCACCCCCACGAUCCCACUCCCCCUCUGCUCCCCCCGAAUCUGGAUCNNNNNNNNNNNNNNNNNNNNNNNNNNNNNNNNNNNNNNNNNNNNNNNNNNNNNNNNNNNNNNNNNNNNNNNNNNNNNNNNNNNNNNNNNNNNNNNNNNNNNNNNNNNNNNNNNNNNNNNNNNNNNNNNNNNNNNNNNNNNNNNNNNNNNNNNNNNNNNNNNNNNNNNNNNNNNNNNNNNNNNNNNNNNNNNNNNNNNNNNNNNNNNNNNNNNNNNNNNNNNNNNNNNNNNNNNNNNNNNNNNNNNNNNNNNNNNNNNNNNNNNNNNNNNNNNNNNNNNNNNNNNNNNNNNNNNNNNNNNNNNNNNNNNNNNNNNNNNNNNNNNNNNNNNNNNNNNNNNNNNNNNNNNNNNNNNNNNNNNNNNNNNNNNNNNNNNNNNNNNNNNNNNNNNNNNNNNNNNNNNNNNNNNNNNNNNNNNNNNNNNNNNNNNNNNNNNNNNNNNNNNNNNNNNNNNNNNNNNNNNNNNNNNNNNNNNNNNNNNNNNNNNNNNNNNNNNNNNNNNNNNNNNNNNNNNNNNNNNNNNNNNNNNNNNNNNNNNNNNNNNNNNNNNNNNNNNNNNNNNNNNNNNNNNNNNNNNNNNNNNNNNNNNNNNNNNNNNNNNNNNNNNNNNNNNNNNNNNNNNNNNNNNNNNNNNNNNNNNNNNNNNNNNNNNNNNNNNNNNNNNNGCCGACCCCGGCCGUUGCUCCUCCCCGCGGUCACUCGUGCUCACCACCGCCACUCCCGCCGCUCCCCACGGCCCUACUCGCCAGCCCGCGCGCGCCCGCCGUGGCCGCGUCCGGCCACUGCACUCCGCCCCGCCUCUGUAGUCCCGUCGCCGCCCACCGGCCGGACCCUGCUCCGGCAAUGGCCUCGCCAUGGCCACUGACCUCCCCUGCGUCGGUGCCCUACCGGGUGCACCCGUACUGGGCGUGCGCUCGCUCGGGCACGUCCGACACCCCCGCCCGCUAUCGGCGCCCGAUUGGCCCCUUGGGGCCACAGGCAUGUGGGGCCCCGCCCCAGAACGUUUACAAAAAAUAAGAAAAAUAAUAUAUAAAAUAAAAUUAAUAAUAAUUGAAUUAAUUAAUGAGUUAAUUACUUAAUUAAUUAACUUAAUUGAUCUUGUUUAGAUUAACCUAAUCAUUUAGUUAGACUAACUAAACCUUAUUAGUUAGUCUUAGCCUAUGGCAUGCAGGACCCACAUGUCAGGUUGACCAGUCAACUAUGUUGACUGCUGACGCCAGCAUAACCUCAUGCUGAUGUUAUUAUUCCAUUUUUCGAAUUAAUUUAAAUAAUUAAUUAAAAUUCCAGAAAUUCAUAAAAUCUUUAGAAAAUCAUAACUUUUAAUCCGUAACUCGGAUUAAAUUAUUUUCAACAUGAAAGUUGCUCAAAAUGACGAGAAGAAUCCGGAUACAUAGCUCGUUCGUCAGCCACACAUCCCUAACCUAUCGAACUCGCAACUUUCCCCCUCCGGUUUAUCUGUCCGAAAACGCGAAACACCGGGGAUACUUUCCCGGAUGUUUCCCCCCUUCACCGGUAUCACCUACUACCGCGUUAGGGCACACCGAACACCGCGUAUUGUCUUGUUACGCUUUGUGAUGCUUUGAUUUCUCUGUUAUUUAUUGUGUUCCCUCUCCGUUACUUCUUUCCGAUAGACCCCAAGACUGCCGGCGACCCCUAGUUCGACUACGGUGUUGGUGACUCGUCCUUCUUGCUAGAGCAACCANNNNNNNNNNNNNNNNNNNNNNNNNNNNNNNNNNNNNNNNNNNNNNNNNNNNNNNNNNNNNNNNNNNNNNNNNNNNNNNNNNNNNNNNNNNNNNNNNNNNNNNNNNNNNNNNNNNNNNNNNNNNNNNNNNNNNNNNNNNNNNNNNNNNNNNNNNNAUCACCAGAUAUCGCCUAUUUUUCUCUAUACUGCUUGCAUUAGAGUAGUGUAGCAUGUUACUGUUCGGAUACUCCUAUUCUGUUACAUAGCCUGUCAUUGUUGCUACAGUCAUUGAUACCUUACCCGCAAUCCUAAAUGCUUAGUAUAGGAUGCUAGUUUAUCAUCAUUGGCCCUACAUUCUUGUCAGUCUGCCUUGCUAUACUAUUGGGCCGUGAUCACUUGGGAGAUGAUCACGGGUAUAUACUAUACAUAUAUACAUACUAUACAGAUGGUGACUAAAGUCGGGUCAGCUCGUUGAGUACCCGCAAGUGAUUCCGAUGUGGGGGCUGGAAGGACAGGUGGCUCCAUCCCGGUAGAGGUGAGCCUGGGUUCCCGACGGCCCCCGACUGUUACUUUAUGGUGGAGCGACAGGGCAGGCUGAGACCACCUAGGAGACAGGUGGGCCUGGCCCUGUUCGGCGUUCGCGGAUACUUAACAUGCUUACAGAGAUCUUGGUAUUUGAUCUGAGUCUGGCUACUGGCCUAUACACACUAACCAACUACGCGGGAACAGUUAUGGGCACUCGGCGUCAUGGUAUCAGCCGAAGCCUUCGUGACGUCAGCGACUGAGCGGCGCGCGCCGGGUUGGACUGCAUUAACGCAACUUCCUUUGUAAUGGAGGUUGCUAGGUCUGCUCACCGGCCGCGUACGCAACAUGCAGGUGUGCAAUGGGCGAUGGGCCCAGACCCCUGCGCGCAUAGGAUUUAGACCGGUGUGCUGAUCUCUCUGUUGUGCCUAGGUGGGGCUGCGACAUGUUAAUCUUCCAAGGCCGGGCAUGACCCAGGAAAGUGUGUCUGGCCAAAUGGGAUCGAGCGUGUUGGGUUAUGUGGUGCACCCCUGCAGGGAAGUUAAUCUAUUCGAAUAGCCGUGAUCUUCGGUAACAGGACGACUUGGAGUUGUACCUUGACCUUAUGACAACUAGAACCAGAUACUUAAUAAAACACACCUAGACAAGUUCCACAGACAACCCGGUGAUCGCUUUUCCACAGGGCGACGAGGGGAGGAUCGCCGGGUAGGAUUAUGCUAUGCGAUGCUACUUGGAGGACUUCAAUCUACUCUCUUCUACAUGCUGCAAGACGGAGGCUGCCAGAAGCAUAGUCUUCGACAGGAUUAGCUAUCCCCCUCUUAUUCUGGCAUUCUGCAGUUCAGUCCAUCGAUAUGGCCCUUUACACAUAUACCCAUGCAUAUGUAGUGUAGCUCCUUGCGUGCGAGUACUUUUGAUGAGUACUCACGGUUGCUUUGCUCCCUCUUUUCCCCCCGUUUUCCUCUUCUUGUCGGAUGCCGCAACCAGACGUUGGAGCCCAGGAUCCAGACGCCACCGUCAAUGAUGACUACUACUCUGGAGGUGCCUACUACUACGUGCAGCCCGCUGACGACGACCAGGAGUAGUUAGGAGGAUCCCAGGCAGGAGGCCUGCGCCUCUUUCGAUCUGUAUCCUAGUUUGUGCUAGCCAUCUUAUGGAAACUUGUUUACUUAUGUCUGUACUCAGAUAUUGUUGCUUCCGCUGACUCGUUUAUGUACGAGCACUUGUAUUCGAGCCCUCGAGGCCCCUGGCUUGUAAUAUGAUGCUUGUAUGACUUAUUUUAUUUUUAGAGAUGUGUUGUGAUAUCUUCCCGUGAGUCCCUGAUCUUGAUCGUACACAUUUGCUUGCAUGAUUAGUGUACGAUUGAAUCAGGGGCGUAACAAGUUGGUAUCAGAGCCGACUGCCUGUAGGAAUCCCCCUUCCACACUCCUUGGCCGAAGUCGAGACUAGUCAUUGCAAACUUUUUACUAACAUGGCUGUGUGGCUUAUAGGCCCACGUCGCCAUUGGGUGGUAGUAGGAUCUUUUAUUCCUCGUCUAUACUCUGGGACUCUGAUCUCUCUUCUAUUCGGGUUAAAAUGGUUUUACUAACACUAACACUAGGAUCUCGUGAUCAUAUCCACCUGGAGAGCCCUUACUACAGAUGAUCGCUUGCUGCACCAGAAGACCCUGAAGAUACUCUCCGCUAUUAACCCGAGAACUUGUGUUCACCGUGUUGGCAAUUCCCCUUCCACCGUCAACCCUGGUGGAUAACUACAUGCAGUUGUCAUUCUUACAUUCAUCCCUAGUUGGUCUUGUUAUUACAAGAUACCCCGAAAUACUCGUUGUUGUUUCGAUUAUCAUUUGUGCCUACUGCCUUGCAGUUCCUUGUCGCCUGAAUACACCUACAAAUUAAUCCUUAGUUGUUCAGGUGUUUCACAAAAAUCUUUGAAAUAUUAUCCGAUCUUUCGAGAAUCCUCUGUAGCCUAUGGCUCUAGAAAUUCUUGUCUGCCUGCAUUAUGGUUAAAUCCCAAAUGCCUAGCAUUAUUCAUUGACAUCCUUUGCACUAUCAUUUUGAGACCGUUGAUUCAAUAUGAUGCGGUUGUUCGCAAUCGUCAAUCACAAUUAGAAUCCAUCCUUCCGGCUCAGACGCCAUUUUUGAACAUGAGCUGGUUCUCGACCAAUCAAUUGCCGUCAGUUGUACCCCUAAGUCUAUUCAGCUUAUCCAUUCUUAAUCAGAGUGUUUGCUUCCGAUCCUUCGAUUUGGAAUCAUAAUUCCUUUGCAUUUGAGCUUCGAAUUAUUCAGAUGAUUCCACAACCGUUGCAUUUGCAUUCUUUCCUCUUCUGGUUCAGUACUGAUACUCACAUCAGAUCCUUUGUGGACCAUCAAGUCCUUUGUUGGAUUGUUAUCCGACAGUGUCCUUCAUAUUUAAUCACCUUGUGAGUUAUUUUCCUGAUACAUAAUAUCAUUGGUAAAUCCUAUACUCUGAAUUGGCCAACCAUGCUUUGCUUUCGAGCUGGUGAUAAUUACUCUCGAAGCUUGUGGUAUAUGUUCCUAAGAUGCCCCGAUGGGUUGAACCUAUGCCUUUCUUAAUCGGUGUGAACCCGAAAGUUUUUUUAAGGUUCAUACUCCUCUGGUAAUUCACCAAGUAGGUCUUCGCACUCAAAUCACUUUAAUAGAGCAGUGAAUGAAAGGUUAUGCAUUGAAGAAGUGGGAGUCGACCUUGAACUUUGUAUUCAUGCCCAUGGACACGAUCUAGAUCUUAUCAUUAAAGCUUCUCUCACAUUAAUUAUUCCCUUGGUAUUAGUUCAUCUUAUAUCUGGGAUCAUACCUUUUUGCAAUCGUGGUCCCGACCAUGUUCUCCUUUACUUACCAUUUCUCGUGCAAAUUUAAGCACUUGUCUUGUGCAGAACAAUACCCCAGUCCAACCUCUACUUUGAUCUGUCAUCGAGUAUCACCCCUUGGUAUCUCGAGAUUAUCAUGGAACUGCAUAACUUCUUACGAGUUCUUCAUCAAGUACUACAUUCUCACGGGUUCCAAUUUUGCACGGGCUUCGAGUUAUUAAACACUCAAAGACACUGAUAACUGAACCGAGUCCGCACUGCGGUUCAACAACUUUUAGUAAUCUUCCUUGCGUACGAGUUUGUACCCGAUCACGGCACUCAUAGCCUGUUUGGCUAUAUGAUUGUCGUGAUGAUUUUAACGGUGCUACCUAGUCCUUAUUCUUGGAGCACCACUUUCGACGAUGAGCUAAGCUUGCGUCGAUUUUCCUUGUCAUAUCAUUUCACCUUGAACAGCAAGCUUGAUUUCGAGUUUGUGUCGUACUCGUGGUUCCAAUAACCUUUCACUUCAUCAUUCCUUUGACUUGAUGUCAUCGCCGAUUGAUUACAUCUUCAUGAAUUCUCUUGACAAAUGUGUCAUGAUCAUCAUCAACAUUUUGAUGCUCUUCCAAGAUAUCUAUUGGAUUCUUCAUGGGAAAUACCAUCCUUGCCCUCGAUGAGUUGUGUUAUCAUCGACCACUUUAUUGCCUUCCCUCCAACACAAACUUGUUCGUGUUUUGUGUUAUACCUUGAGUUCCUUGCUAUCCAACAUUUAUUCUUCUUUACCUUGGAGUGUUACCAUCUCUUAUGUCAAGAAUGUCGUGAGGAUUACUCCACCUCUUAAGAAUUCUUGGUAUAGUGAUACUUCUCACCAUCACCAUUCUUUCUUGGUCCUCAUGUUGAUUCCAACCGGGGUACCAACAGGUGAGCGGUGUUGUUUGGAUUUUGCACUUCUAGCAACCCUAUUGCUUCGAAGUUAAUGGUCGGUCGUUCAUUCUUAGACUAUUUAUUAUUGAAUCACCAUUCUGACAUUGGUCGUGCAACCCAACCCAUAUUUCGGGUGCACCUUUCAACCAGUGUUUAAUUGUGUAUGUUUUCCUCGAGCUUACUUCCUUAUAUCAUUUGAUAUGACAAAUGUUAUCUCCUUAUCCACAUAAUUAUGGAGAUCCAUCCUUUGGAUACCUCGAUGAAUUAUCGCUGAGUCCAUCAGUCACCUCCUCAUCCCCUUCUUGGUUUAAUGAUGAACUAUUGUUUCAGGAACCCGCUCCCAUAGUUCAUUUCCUGAGAAUCUUGCUAUGUCAUUUCGUCGAUUUGUGUUGCACCUUUUCUUCUCGGACAACCUGAGUCUGAGGUAUCAUGACACCAAUCGAAUCUGAAUCUCGGUCCGAGAUGAUGGUUGGAACAUAUUUCCAAGAGUUAUAACAAUGGUCUUUAUGUGACCCGGUAAGGUGAUGUCAUGCCUAGCACCCCUGGCCGGAGGACCUAUUGUUAUAGUUUCCUUUUUGGCAAGGUUAGUCAUUCUUCCAUGAGCAAAUUGUAAAACUUAUUCUAUAAGUUGUUCCUGAUGGAUCCUUUUUGAUUCCAAAGUCUGAUCUUCACCCAUUGACCAUGUCAAUGCCAUCUCGAAGCAUGUCUAUGGUACUCCGAUUUUCAACAGGAACAUUUGAAGCCCAAUGCUAAAUGUUUCUUGCUCAUUUAUCCAAACACCGUUGCAUGGGUAAUGUCAUGAUAUUUCUCUCCCCUUUCCUAAAGGGUUUGCUACGUUAUAUCCUGUCAUGGAUAUCAUGCUCUGCUUGUCCUUGGGAAGAUAUAUCCUUGAAAUAUGUGUUUAAACACCUUUUCCUUUCCAUGGUUCUGUUUAAACCUGAUAAUCACUUUUCCUUUCCAUUGAUUUGUUUAAACCUUCUGGUGAUCUAUAUGAUCCAAGCAGAAAUAUUCUUCUGCUUAUGUAAACACCUUGGUGUACAUUUCUGUCAGCAAGACCCUGUUACUAUUGUUGAUGACAUUAUGGUAACCACCGAUGGACGAGAACUUUGCCUAUUGGUCCGCCUCGUUCAACGAGUAGGAAAAUGGUUCUCUUCGUCCCUCGCCCUUGGUACCGACAUUGUUGUCAACAUAACUGAUAGGCUACCCUCUGACAUGUCUUGCUACCAUGACCGUGCAAGAGUCAACACCCUUCCUACUUUUAACCACAUGGUGGGCCCAUAACCCACAGUUCCACAGGAUCAAAACCUGACUCUCCUGUACAGCCCUAUUACUAAUGGUUAUUUCCCACGCUUGGCUUCGUAUUUAAUUCACGGGCCACCUUCCUAAUGCUCUAUUCUGGUAUCAGACGCAAUACUUACUCUCGUUGCUCUGAACCCCUUUCUCACUCCGGUUCAGACUUCGAGCAACUAUCUAUCCGCUUGGAACCUCUUAUCGUACCUUCGUACCUUACCCUCGACAUAUUUUAUUGGUUCAACUCGAGAGAUACUCUUAUGCUCAUUCAUGGGUUAACCCCAGAUUGUCUCCCUCAUAAGCAUUCUGUCGUAGCCGAGCUGCCCCUUACCUAUUCGUAAGUACGUUGGAGUUCCCGAAGAAAAGGACGACUUCACCAUGAUGACCUAAAGCACAGAAAUAAAGACGUCAAUGUAACGGAUCGACCUCUUCGAGAAGAGCAACCAAAGACGAGAAGACCCGUUAGAAUUUCGUAACCAAAAUUUUCCCCUUAGUCCCCCUCUUAAAUCUCGGGAUGAGAUUUCUUGUAGUGGAGGAGAAUUGUGACGCCCGGAUAAUCAAGCUACAGUAACCUCUAUUAAUGAUGCCACGUCUCCACUCUUACUGUUGCUAACCUCGCAAUGAUUCGAAACCUUUUCAAAUUCAAAUUCAAAUUAAUGUCAAACGACAAAGUUUUCAAAAUAUUAAACUAAAAUGUUCGGAGUGUGCAGUUAAAUGCCUAGGUGAUCAUAGUGCAAUGAACACCCUUUUUGAAAAUGUCUAAAUAUAUUAAAAUGAAAUAAAAGAAAAAAGUGAAAUAAAUAAAUAAAUAAAAGGAAAAGACAAAUCUAACUAAAAAUAAAAAGAGGUGCCCCCACUGGGCCAUCUGUGGCCCAGCUAGCCAGCCCAACUGGGCAAAGGCCCAGCCGACUGGCCCAGCCGGCCGACCCACUCCCUCCAUAUCCCCACCAGGGAGGAAACCCUAAACCACGACCCACCUCACUCCCCACCCCCACGAUCCCACUCCCCCUCUGCUCCCCCCGAAUCUGGAUCGGGAAUGGGGCACCCGAUGCCGAUGCCCCGGCUCGUCCCCGUCGUGUCGCCGUUCACCGGUGCCACCCACCGGACCCCCCGUCCUCCUAUCCUCUCCGCCUUCCACUCAUCACCGAGCCGCACCUGCUCGUUGUCGUCGUGUGCCACCACCGCCGCCUGGAGCCCCGCGUCNNNNNNNNNNNNNNNNNNNNNNNNNNNNNNNNNNNNNNNNNNNNNNNNNNNNNNNNNNNNNNNNNNNNNNNNNNNNNNNNNNNNNNNNNNNNNNNNNNNNNNNNNNNNNNNNNNNNNNNNNNNNNNNNNNNNNNNNNNNNNNNNNNNNNNNNNNNNNNNNNNNNNNNNNNNNNNNNNNNNNNNNNNNNNNNNNNNNNNNNNNNNNNNNNNNNNNNNNNNNNNNNNNNNNNNNNNNNNNNNNNNNNNNNNNNNNNNNNNNNNNNNNNNNNNNNNNNNNNNNNNNNNNNNNNNNNNACCCCCGCUGCCAAUUGCCCUACUCGAUGUGAGCACGCGCCCCUCCUCUCUCUCCCUCGCCCGCGACCACGCGAGCCCCGCCAUGACCGCGCGCGCCGACCCUGGCCGUUGCUCCUCCCUGCGGUCGCUCGUGCUCACCACCGCCACUCCCACCGAGCACCACCGCUCCCCACGGCCCUACUCGCCUGCCCGCGCGCGCCCGCCGUGGCCGCGUCCGGUCACUGCACUCCGCCCCGCCUCUAUAGUCUCGUCGCCGCCCGCCGGCCGGACCCCGCUCCGGCAAUGGCCUCGCCAUGGCCAAUGACCUCCCCUACGCCGGUGCCCUACCAGGUCCGCCCGUACUGGGCGUGCGCCCGCUCGGGCGCGUCCGACGCCCCCGCCCACUAUCGGCACCCGAUUGGCCCCUUGGGGCCACAGGCAUGUGGGGCCCCGCCCCAGAACGUUUACAAAAAAAAAAAA
rnacentral:lncRNA from 1 species